GAUGCAAGCGGGAAUCCAAUAAAUAACUUGAAUGUAAAUAAAAGUAAUUAAAGAACUCAGAAAUUAUGAAUUGAAGAACCUGGAGAACGAUGAAGAACGAACCAGAUGCUGCAAAAGUAUAAUGUUGAGGAAGAUCCGACAGAUCUGGCUCCUCCUCCGCUCUCCUCUUCUCUCUCCCUAUUUUCUAGAUUACAACUAGAACUAACUAGAACUAGAACUAGAAGAACUAGAACUAGAACUAGAUGAACUAGAGGUAGAUCUAGAUGAACUAGAGGUAGAACUAGAAGAACUAGAGGGAUCCUCUCUACUUGGAUGAAGAAUUGAAACCCUAGCUUUUAUUCUGUAGAAGAGGUAUGAUCUCCAGGGGCCAGGGGGUCUGGUUUUAUAGUCCGUUCAAGUGAAUCUGGGCCGUCGGAUCAAACCGACAUUGAUCGUGUGGUUUUCCUUGAAGUAUUAGGUCGGUGGAGCAUGAUCCCCGAACUUCACCCUGAUUGGUGGAAAGAGGUGGGCGGGCGCCCAGGCAAGGAGGGCGGGCGCCCUGUCCCUGUGUCCUCUCGGCCUCCGCUUCGGUCCCGUGGCUUCUGGAGUCUUCUAGAUGAUAGAAAAUUGCGCGGCACGUUAAUAUCUCUAUGUAAACCCGACGUGUGGGCCUUUCUUCCAUAAUUCCUGAUAACCCCUUGCAGAAAUAGACAAACACCAAAACUCGUGGAAUUCUGUCAGAUAAAACCCUAAGUCUAGGUGUUGGUUGCAUUUGGAUCCUUUUCUAUGAUUAAUUGAUAGUUAAUUGUGAGCAUUAAGGACCGUCAACAAUCUCAUAAUGCAACUUGAAGCAGCUUCCUUGCAGAUGUGAGGCCUCUUGCACUUAGCUAAUGGAUUUGAUGCUUUUAUCUCAAAGAGCUAUAGGCAGUAUUAAAUUACCUAUGUGUUUAAUACAAUAAAAUUAAUUUAUAUUGUCAAAAUAAUGAAAUAAAUCUAAUACUAGUUUGAAUUUUCUGAGAUAGGAGAAUUACUUUUAGAGACUGCUAGAUAAUUAAUUUAAGAACUUGAUCCUUGCUGGUUAUAUGUUGAUUAUAUGAUCCCUGCUUACAAGGGUUAGCUUGGAAGAACUUAAGCAAUAAAAUGGCAACAAAGUUUUAACAGCUAACUUGGGAUGCUUCCAGUGAGUUCUAUAUAAGUUCAAUAAAAUUAAUGAUACAAGCAGGAUAUAUUCUACUCCUAUGCAUUACUAAAAUGACAAAUAAGGUUAGUAAGACACAAGGUUCUGCAUAUGAUUUUCAUACCACUGUGGCCAUUGUAGGUGCGGUGAGGUCAGCAUUUUUGCCAGUCGCAUCCUGCACACUACCAGCAAGCAAAAGGUCAUCAUUAGACUCCCUUUACAAAAUCAGAGGCUAUGGCAUCUACUAUUUUGAAAAUUCACCAUUUUAGUGUAAGUAUUCCAUGAUGUCAAUGUAAUUGAAGGUACCCAGACAUUAUAUCAAUUAAAUUUUGGCAUAACUGCUUUGAAUUAUCUGAUUCCUAGGAUGGAGAAAAUUAUCUGAUUCUUUUAAGGGUUAAUUAAACUGAUUCCUACCUAUCUGCUUUGAAUUCUAACAAUGAUAGCCAAGUUCCUUUUCCCCUCCUUUUCUGAAAGGAAAACAUUGGAUGGCAACACUCACAAAUCACAGAAGACUCAGAUCGUAUGAUAAUUAAAUAUCUUUGUGCUCACCAAAAUUUUAAGUUUCAAUAAAGCAGUAAUAUGUGAAAUAGAAACACAAAUUUAUCAUAACAAUGUCUAAAACUGCAAGAGCAAACAGAGCACUCUUACUGUGCUGCAGAACAAGCAACAGUUAGAAAAAAUAGAGAGGCACACUCUUUGGUUUGAAACUUAACUAAGCCUACUUACAUAUGAUGAAUAUUUCUGUCAACUCAGAUAGAGAUGUUAAGUAACUACAAAAGAUUCCAUGUAAUGUACUGGUUAGCCUCUCCCAAUCCCUAUUCAGUAAGUACAUGAACAUGAUCUUUGUCAAUUUUCCAUGUCAUGUAAUCUACUCAUUUGCAGACUCAGUUAUUUAUAGGCUUCCAUCCCCCGAUUGUUGUUUUUGGCAACUUCUGUACAAGUAGCAAGCAGAAUUGAAGAGAUCUCUAAGGAGAUCCCCCAUAAUACUUGGAUAUGUUACCGCAGUGAAACUAUGGUUUAAAUAUGCUCACAUCACUGAGAACUCCUGUGAAAAAUACCUCAUUAUGUGCAGUGCUAUUCCAGCUUUAAGUUUUCCCCUCUGAAUUUCGGCCUCAUUAAGUCUGCAGUAUGCUGGAUCUCUCUCAAACUCUGAAACUGCGUCACCCAACUUAUUCAAAAUUAUAUUCAAGUGAGUAAUGGACAAUGGCGGUAUCACAAAAUAAGUAGAUGUAAUUUUACGAUAACCUUUCUAGUACUAAGCAUAACAGCACUACAUGAGCGACUGAUAGUGAUACUGCAGUAAAAAAGAAAACUUUAGUCAUAUGCAGCAUAAAUGAGUACGCAAUGUAUGAAUUAGUGGUGUAACAGCCAUUUAUUCGAACAUCUGCAAACAGUCAAGAAAACGGCUCCAGCCGCCAACUCUGCUCGAUUUUUCACUGCUCCCUACCAUGCCACCACAACUCACUAGACGCACAAACUGUGCAGAGUGGACAGAUGAGCAACAAGGAAGAAGACCCUCACGGUUCUGAUCAACGAAAGAAAUGGACGGAUGGAGCAACGAGGGCUAGAGGACAGGGCGGGCAGAAGGUGAGCAACUCACUGAGUCACGGAUCUCAUCCUUGACGAUGUAGAAGGGGGGGCCAUAGGGAGGCUCACAAGCCGCCGGCCCGGAGCAGGAGGUUCAGAUCCGAGGACGGCCACUGCUCGGGAGGCUCGCAAGCCGUCGGCGGGAAGCGGGGCGGCCGCGCGCAGGCCGGCGGGGCUCCGGCGAGCCGUGGUCGUGGGCGAGGCGGCUGGGUUCCGGGGGCGUGAGCCGAGGUCGGGGCUAGGGCGGACAGGCUCCGGGGGUGCCAGCCGCGGUGCGGGCGGGGCUCCGGAGUAAACAUGGCAAUUUUUAUCCCAAACCCGAAAUCCGAUGGGUAAUUACCUCAUUAUGGUAAGGGUAUGGCUAUUUUUUUUUACCUAUGGCUAAGAUAAUGGGAAAAAAAGCUUUACCCAGCGGGUAAGGGUAUGAGACUGCAUUGCCCAUUCCCGUUAACCAAUGGGUAAAUUGAAUCCGAUAAAUUAUACUACAAUCAUAAAACUUGUGGAUUUUAUGACUUAUUAUCUAGUAAUAAUGGAUUUAUCCAUUAGAUCAUUUAACUGUGUGUUCAUGUAGUUUGUAUAUUUGAAGAGUUUAUUAAUGAUUUAUGAUAUUUUGGCUAAAUUUGGGAGUCUGAUAUAUUAAAACAUGUAUUUUUCUAGCAAAUAUUUUUAAAAUAAUGUGUAAAGAUAACCCAUGGGUUAUCCGUUACCCGCAUGGGUAAAGGUAUGGGAAAAAAACUGUUACCCAUACUCGGGUAUGGGUAAAUUAGCGGAUAAAAUAUUUUCUCGUGGAUAAAAGUAACACAUACCCGACCGCUAGUAAUUACCCAUUGCCAUCCAUACUCCGGAGGGGUGCAAGCCGUAGUCGGGGGCUGGGUGGCCGGGGGCAGCGUCAGCGGCAUCCAGUGGAGACGCUGGGGUCAGCGUCACUUUUGGAUGGCGGAUUGCAGGCAGUGCUUCUGUCACACCCUGGCUUUUAAAAUAAGACCAGAGUCGUCAUAUGUGUGCCCAGGAAGUCCACACAUACAACAAAGAAUAAAAAUAUCAGAAAAAAUGUUAUAUAUAGCGGAAAACGUAUUUAUAACAACACUUACAAACAUCAGAGUACGCGGAAACAGUAGCUAAAACUUCUUAGGCUCCAUUCUUCUCAGGGACGGUUGACUGGGGCUCCGUACGCCAAGCACUUCUGAUAUACUUCUAGAAUACUCCAUAAUAUCUCUAUCCUUCUUCUGAGCAGCACUUUACUACACACUGGGGGUGUGGGGGGAAAUAGCAAGGGUGAGUUCAUGUCGAACUCAACAAGUACAGGCGGAAAAUAUAAUGACAUGCAUGGCUUAAUCAAAGGAAAAGCUGACACUGUUUAACUGCAGGUGAGCUUUUAAGUUGGUAUAUUUUUAUUACAAUUCUUUUAUUAAAACAAUCUAUUAUUAAAUAUGAGUGAAGCAUCCCAACCCUUAAUUAGAUGAAAGUAUAUUAACAAUAUUAUUACUCAUCAUUAUAAUAAUAAUUAUUAUUAAGAUUACCGAGGUAGCAACCUCAGAUAGUAACUCAGGGUAGCAACCCCAAUAAGGUCAUGGAAUAGCAAUCCCAAUUAAGAACACAGGAUAGCAAUCCUGCCAACACGGAAUAGCCAUUCCGCCAAAGCACGAGGUAUCAACCUCAACCAAGUUUCGCCUCCAAGUUCCAGUGAAUCCAAUUUGCUCAUCAAGUGAGGGUCUGGGCCGCUCGUGACCGUGAGCACGGCUGAUAUAUCAGUUUUACACUCUGCAGAGGUGUGCACGUUCACUCCAAGUCGUGAUUCCCAUUUGCCCGGGGUCGCGACUCCCCAAAACACUUCCAAGGUGAGCAGGCAGGGUCUCACUACGAGACUUUUCACAGGGUCCAACUAAUAGGAUGCCACUCGCAAGUUUUCGCCGGGGCGCUCGACAGUCGAUACCCAUAGCCAUGGCGUACCAAGCAGCCGCUAACUUAAUAUUCAUUACCCAAGUUACUUCCUCACGCCUACCCGGAAAGUAACACCCUACUAGUGGAGGUCCUGCUAAUUAGUCAAGCCAGAGCCCAUAUAGCUUGGAGCUGCACUGUAAGUCCCAGGGGGCCGCUCCCUGACUAAGUCCUUACGGAGAGCAGAGACGGGUACGCCCGGCAAACCGGACCACCAACAGUACCCGCUCCCCCUGUCCUCAACCAAACCACGAUGCUCGCAAGCACCGCAACAUCUCCAUCACCGAAGUGACCAUUGUUCAUCAUUUAAUCAUUUAUCAUCAUUGAAGAAUUUAUUAAGCAAGAUCAUUAUUUUUAUUAUUAUAUAGAUUAGAUGAGUAGAGCAACUAAGCAUAUCUACUGUUCACUAUACUACCCAUGUAUAAACCCAGGUAUACAAGGAAUAUAGUAGAAGACUAGUCAUGUCCUUAGGGUUUGCAGUAUUAAGACACAUGCAAUGGAAAGUAAAUGUAUUUAAAGUUCAUAGGUACAAUAUGACCAAAGGGUGUCUGCACUUGCCUUAAUUCCCAGUGUAUAUCUGCUCAGAAUUCUUUAGCUUCUUUCCUUCUGCUUCGACUGUCGGGCCUCAGCUCCUGGUCUUCACUGUUGACGAACCACACUUCUUCUACGCGUAGCAACCAAGCAACACACAUAGACAAACAAACAACAAUCACGACUAAGAACAAGCAUCAAUCAAAAGUAAAGCUCUGAAAAGUAGAGCGCACUAAACGACAAGGCUUGAGGCUACGAUCGUGACAACACAAGAACGAUUGAGAACGGAGCUAUCGUUAAUCGAACACGACUUUUGAGGUUCGUAGUGUAACGGAGAAGACGACUAUACGCUGGUCGUAUUUUAUUUAAUAAAUAACUAUAUAACACUGAAGCCAAUAAAGCAUUUAUAGUUUUUGAAAUAUAGCAUAUAUGAAAGCAACUAAUCAAGUGAUUAUAUAUCAUGUUUAAACUAAUCAAGUUAUAAUUAAUAAAGAAACAUUAAGGUUGAUAUUAAUAACGUGGGCAUUUAUUUAUUUACAAAAAGAUCAAAAUUAUAAACUUUAUUUACUUUUAAAUCAAAAAAACUCUAGAUAAAUAUUACUAAAUUAUUUAUUUGCUUCAUGUUUAACUAACCAAAUUAUAAUUAAGAAGUAUUUGAGUUCACCUUUGAUUAUAAAUACCAAAGUGUAAAUCUAAUGUGUUUUAAAAUUAAGUAAAUAGGAAUGCAUUCCAAACAUUAAUCGGAUUAAUUAUACUCAUGAACAUGAGACAAUAAAUAUAGCACCGCUAAUAUGUAUACUACAUCGACAUAGUCACAAUGCAACGAGGACCGAAUUACAACCCUAGAUUGUUCCUAAUUUAAAAGCUAUUUAAUAAAUAUUAAUCAAAUUAUAUUUAAAUCAAUAAAUUCAGAAAUAAGUUACAUGAUAAAUAUUUAUACUACUACGUAAAGCGCGGCGAUAUGAAACUAACGCGACAAGAACGGGCGCAAACGGAAUUAAAACGCGGAUUCUAUGGCCAAAACUAUGUCAGUGGCAAAACUGUGGAUUAUCAUAACUAUUUUUCGUAAUUUAAAUAAUUAAAACAGAAUUAAAAAGUGAUUUGGAUUAAAUCUGCAAAAACCGACGGCUGCAGGGGCUAUUCUGCAAAAACCAGGGGCAUAUUUCUAUUUACUUUAAACUGAGCAGGACUGCGGGUUAAUUUUAAAUAAACCCGAGGGCUUAUUUGCAAAAGGGUAAGGGGGCGCGCGGGGCCGUGGCCAGCCUGGCCACGUGGCAGCGGGCGGUUGGCGGGUCCACGGUGGACCGGGCCGAGCGGGGCGCGCACACGGGCAGCGGGGGCGGGCGGCCGGCCGCGGCGGUGCGCCAGGGCCGCGGCUCGGAGCUUCGCCGGGACGGCGAGCCGGGGCAUGGGGAGGCAAGCCGAGGGCGGUGGCGGGUUGCGGGCGGUACGGCGGAGCCGAUGCGCGCGCGGGCCGCACGGAUAGAGGGCCGAAGCGCGCGGAGCUCGCGGUGGCGCGGCUCGCCGGCGACGCGGAACUCCGGCGAGCGCGGGCGCGGGGAAAGAGAGGGAGAAAGAGCGCGCCGAGGGUAUCUCCAUGCUCGUGGCGACCUAGCGAACUCGGGGAGGCACUCACCUUGGCGAAAGAACGACGGCAUGGAGGUGUUUCGCGGCGGCCGAAGGGAUCUCGGCGAGACCGAGCUCGAGCAGGGACUAUGUGAUGCGGUUUGAGGCGGCUAGGGUUCCUAGGGAGGCGUGCGGCGGCUGCAGGGCGCCCUUAAAUAGGUGAAGGCGAUCCUCGGUUUGCGCGCGCGCAGAAAUCGUGGCGGCGGCGCCGUCCGCGUCCGAGUCGGGCGGGAGGUUAGGGGUGACCUCCCCCUGACAGGUGGGGCCCGGAUGUCAGCGACUCGGAGCGAGCUGGCAGGCGGGGCCCACGUGGCAGUGGCACGGGCACUAGGCGAGCUGGCGCAGCUGCUGCUGGGCUGCUGCACGGCUGGGCCGAGGCCCAAGGGGCGCGUGCGCGUGGGCUCGAAGAGCAGCCAGGCCGGGGCUGGGCCACAAGCACAAGUAGGCCAAAAACGAGGAGGGAAAAAUGAGGAAGAAAAUAACUUCUCUUUUUGCCAAAAUAGAAAUUCUAAACUAAUUUGCCAACCAAUUUCCAAACUAUUUUCAAACCAUAUUUCAAAAUAAAUUUGAUUCAACAUUUAGGGAUUAUUUUGGAAUUUUUUUUAGACUAUUUUGAAAUCUAAAUAUAUUUCAGUUUAAACACAUUUCUAAAUUGUUUUCCAACUCGAAUUUGAAUUAGUUUUCAAAUAGGACUUUUGGAGUUUUAUUUUUCCGAAAACCGAAAGGACCUAAACGUGGCUCGCUAGAAAUUUUGAAAAUUCAUUUUUCUGAGACAAGCCAAACAAAACUAGGGCACAAAACACACAUCAAAUAAAACACCCUCCACUUAGUUUAAUAAAAGUUUUAAAACUCCACAUUUUUUCUCAUUUUAUAAAAACAAUAAUUAAUAAAUUCUUGGAAUAUUUUAGAAAAAAUUUAAAUCCUUAUUUAAUUUAGUAUUUUCUAAUAACAAUCCAAAAUUAAAUUUUUUUUGGAGUGUUACAGAUCUACCCCACUUAACAAAAAUCUCGUCCCGAGAUUUGAAGAAACUAGAGAGAAAGAUAAAGUAGAUCAUCAAAGUUGCUUCGAGACUUUCAAGACGUGAUCAAAGGAUUAGAGAUAGACUUAGGGUAAAAAGUAUGAUAAAAGAUGACAAGGAAAGAAAAAAAAAUAAACGUAUGAGAUAAGAAUUGAAACGUAUGAGAUAAGAAUUAAUCUUUGGACCUUGUAUUAGGAUAAGGUUCAAGGGUGAGAAGCCAAUAUGAACAGGAGAUGAUACAUAGGAGAUAAAGAUAGAUAUUAUAGUACUCACAAUUUCCUCGAUUCCGGAUAUAUAUAUGAUAGUAGAUGAAAGAAUAAAGAAUGAUGAAAAGUUGACAAAGACUUAGAAUUUUUUUUUGUCUUCACGCUUUAUCAUUUGUAGUCCUUUGAGACGUAAGAUCCAAGAUUUACACGUUGACAAAAUUGAUAAGGGCUCAUCGCAAGAAUGAUAAAGAUCAAUAUAUAGUUCUCCAUGUCUUUCUGAUUAGAGAUUUUCGAGAGUGAUGAUCGUACGAAUGCUACCCCACUUAAACCAAGUGUUAGCUUAUCUUUCAAAAUCCUGUAUAAGAACACUCAUCUUGUCGGUAGAUAAUCUUCAAAGUUUUCCUUGGGAGGUUACUAGUUCGACAACACGCUGCAUAGAUGGAGAUUCCGAGGAACAGGGAGAGAAUCAACACAAUGAUUGGAAAGGAUAGAUUAAGAUGUUCUUAAUUUUCUUAGUGCUGGUGUGAGACAUAAGUCAGAAGACAAGAAGUUUGUCCAGGUGAAAGUUCUUGAACACUUCCCAGCAAAACAAACCAAGGGGUCGGUGAAAUUGACCAUAUAUCGGUAUGAUUUUACAUCUAACUUUCAGGUUCUGCAUUUUGUCACGUGAUAGUCCAGCAUAUAUUCCACGGUGAAAAAGAAGUCUUAUCUUAGGACCUCGGUUUCCUGUUGCCUUGCUUUGAUAGGUCAACAGGCAUGACAUUUUCUAGGUCACUCAGUGCUUCUUUGUGGUCUCCAUAGAUGGAUUCUAAGCAGACAUGACCUACUACUUGUAGUGUCGGGAGAAUGUUGCAAGAGAGAACUACACAAAUGAUGUCGACUCAUUUUGUAUGAAGAAUUUAAGAUCGCUUCACAGGUAAGCACUACAAGUUGAUGUUGGGAUAGCACGAUGUGCUUCGUCCAAGGUUCCAUCAGUUACCAUAAAUAGACUGAACAUCUGGUCAAACAACUCAUAACCCAUAUUGGAAGCUUAAGAAUGAUAAGGUCCAAUGAACAAGACAUCUCAUUUUACAAAGAAGAUUACAAGUGACUUGAAUACCAAAUCUUUAUAAGCUAAUAGACACAACUGACUUCAGAUUUCAUAGACCAUCAUUGACUAGCUCAAAUCUAUCUAGGUCCCUUAAUAUAACUUGCUUCACAUCAGAUGUUGAGAAUAUAUCACCUCUGUAUAAGGUCCACAUCUCUUUCAAACUGCCUCGUUGUCGGUACAAUCCUUCCAUUAGUGCUUUAAUCCUUCGGGUGAGGUUGAAUACCUUCAUACAUAAACCUAUCUCCUGAUGGGGUGGUUAGAGAUACUGAGUGUUGGGUACAGUCAAUCUUUCCAUGACAAGCGGUUAACCAUCCUCUUCCAAGAACGACAUCAAUCUCCAUUGAUUCCAAAACUACAAGAUUCACCUCAAAAUUUACACCUUUUAUACCGAGACUGACUUUUGGGCACAUGUGUGUUGCUUUUAUCUUCCCUCUUGGUGAUUUGACUAGUACGGGUUUCUUCAUUUCCAACAGAAGCAUCUUAUGAUUAGCAACACGUUUAUUUGAGAUGAAAGAAUGUGAAGAACUUGAGUCAAACAAAACAGUGGCAGGAGUUGAAUUGACUAGAAUUGAUCCAAACACCACAUUUUGUGCUUCACGAGCAGUACACAGAUCCACAUGGUUCAAUCUACCAUUAACAUAGUCACGAACUGGGUACUUCUUUGGACAAUGUUUCUUGUGAUGUCCCUCUUCGUGACACUGGUAACAAGCAUUGCUAACCAUUUUACCAUAGGUGUUAUCCUGACAUUGAGCUCCUUGAAUUGAUGUGCCAGGAGUAAUUGAAGUGCUACUAACUUGUUGGUUCUGAGGGUUCACCUUCAAUGGAGUCUCUUCACUAUUUCGCUUCUUAGCUUGAUUACUCUUUCGAGGCUGAUAUUCUGUAUAGGUGAUGGUCCAUCCAUCUAGGCAUACCUCUGGCAUAGCAAGUGUAGCUGAAGGGGCAUCUAAUUCUUCAAGGUAUGAAUGUGUCUGAUGAGAGUUUGGAGCUAAAUCUAACUGCAAUGUAGAACUCAGAUUUGGCUCAACACUUAACAGUGGCUCUAGGGAGAUUGCCUUCCUUUUCUUGUUACCUUCAGUUUGUUGAUCCUGGGGUACUUCAAUCUUUCCUUCACUUGGCUUGUUCUGGAGACAAGGUAAACCAUAGUAUCUGCAGCAGUUACACGGCUCUUGAAUCCCAAGUGCCUCAUUAAUACCAUCUUUCUUGGCUUUCAUGUUCUUCCAGGCAUCUAUGACUUGUCGCUUCAUUGCUUCUUUCUGAGUUUCAGUCAUGUUCUUUUCUAAAUAUAACUGAGAAUCUUUUGGUGGUCCCACUCCACUUAGUACUUGAUCCUGCAUAGACAAGGGCUUCUCCUUGUUUACUAGGGACAAGGGUAGCAUAGUUGGGUCUUCCUGACAUUUGGUGUAAGCUUCUUCAAUAUCGCCUUGGAGAAGUAAAGAUUGUAGUAUCAAAAGCUUCUGGAGUCUAGCCAUAUGAUCAGCUGCCAUCUCUAGGAUUUGGGAUUGCCAAGCUAUCAUCUCUUCACUGCUCAAUUGUGUUGCAGAAGUCAUUGGUUGACUCGGAUCACCAAUAUUCUUUUCCAUUGAUGUCACCACUUGGAUCAAUCAUCUGACAUUAGGCAAUAGUAGAAUGAGUUAGAGUAAUAUAGGCAAAGAGUAUGACAUAGGGUAGGAGAGAAUAGCUGGACAGGAUUAAGAUUGACAAAAGAUAUGGAUAGGAUAAGAGAGAUCACUACCCCACUUAACAGAGAUCGAACUAAUCCCCAAACGAUUUCUUCCAGAACUCCUCAAAACACUAGAACAGAGACAACACACAAAACAUCAAACCAAACAAAACAAGCACGCAACACAUCAACGAUACUACACGUGCUUCUUCAACAGUGGUGGUCAUCCUAAAAAGGUAAGUUCGAGAUGAUGAAGGGCCAUCGAAUUUUGGAAUAAAAUAAGUUUUGAAAACUUAAGUAAAACAACUAAACAAAAGCCAAGGAGAUUAAUAGAAAUAGCUCAAAGGAAGCUAUUCAAGGAGGGGAUACAACAUGACAAGGAUGAAGAAAUAGUCAAAAUCAAAUAGUCAAGAGAUGAGAAAAUAGUUUUAUAUUAAAAUAAGCUUUAGAAAUCGACCAGUGCUAUCUAGGCAUACGUCCUACAGUCGACAUUGCUCUGAUACCAUUCCUGUCACACCCUGGCUUUUAAAAUAAGACCAGAGUCGUCAUAUAUGUGCCCAGGAAGUCCACACAUACAACAAAGAAUAGAAAUAUCAGAAACAAUGUUAUAUAUAGUGGAAAACGUAUUUAUAACAACACUUACAAACAUCAGAGUACGCGGAAACAGUAGCUAAAACUUCUUAGGCUCCAUUCUUCUCAGGGACGGUUGACUGGGGGCUCCGUACGCCAAGCACUUCUGAUAUACUUCUAGAAUACUCCAUAAUAUCUCUAUCCUUCUUCUGAGCAGCACUUUACUACACACUGGGGUGUGGGGGGAAAUAGCAAGGGUGAGUUCAUGUCGAACUCAACAAGUACAGGCGGAAAAUAUAAUGACAUGCAUGGCUUAAUCAAAGGAAAAGCUGACACUGUUUAACUGCAGGUGAGCUUUUAAGUUGGCAUAUUUUUAUUACAAUUCUUUUAUUAAAACAACCUAUUAUUAAAUAUGAGUGAAGCAUCCCAACCCUUAAUUAGAUGAAAGUAUAUUAACAAUAUUAUUACUCAUCAUUAUAAUAAUAAUUAUUAUUAAGAUUACCGAGGUAGCAACCUCAGAUAGUAACUCAGGGUAGCAACCCCAAUAAGCUCAUGGAAUAGCAAUCCCAAUUAAGAACACAGGAUAGCAAUCCUGCCAACACGGAAUAGCCAUUCUGCCAAAGCACGAGGUAGCAACCUCAACCAAGUUUCGCCUCCAAGUUCCAGUGAAUCCAAUUUGCUCAUCAAGUGAGGGUCUGGGCCGCUCGUGACCGUGAGCACGGCUGAUAUAUCAGUUUUACACUCUGCAGAGGUGUGCACGUUCACUCCAAGUCGUGAUUCCCAUUUGCCCGGGGUCGCGACUCCCCAAAACACUUCCAAGGUGAGCAGGCAGGGUCUCACUACGAGACUUUUCACAGGGUCCAACUAAUAGGAUGCCACUCGCAAGUUUUCGCCGGGGCGCUCGACAGUCGAUACCCAUAGCCAUGGCGUACCGAGCAGCCGCUAACUUAAUAUUCAUUACCCAAGUUACUUCCUCACGCCUACCCGGAAAGUAACACCCUACUAGUGGAGGUCCUGCUAAUUAGUCAAGCCAGAGCCCAUAUAGCUUGGAGCUGCACUGUAAGUCCCAGGGGGCCGCUCCCUGACUAAGUCCUUACGGAGAGCAGAGACGGGUACGCCCGGCAAACCGGACCACCAACAGUACCCGCUCCCUCUGUCCUCAACCAAACCACGAUGCUCGCAAGCACCGCAACAUCUCCAUCACCGAAGUGACCAUUGUUCAUCAUUUAAUCAUUUAUCAUCAUUGAAGAAUUUAUUAAGCAAGAUCAUUAUUUUUAUUAUUAUAUAGAUUAGAUGAGUAGAGCAACUAAGCAUAUCUACUGUUCACUAUACUACCCAUGUAUAAACCCAGGUAUACAAGGAAUAUAGUAGAAGACUAGUCAUGUCCUUAGGGUUUGCAGUAUUAAGACACAUGCAAUGGAAAGUAAAUGUAUUUCAAGUUCAUAGGUACAAUAUGAUCAAAGGGUGUCUGCACUUGCCUUAAUUCCCAGUGUAUAUCUGCUCGGAAUUCUUUAGCUUCUUUCCUUCUGCUUCGACUGUCGGGCCUCAGCUCCUGGUCUUCACCGUUGACGAACCACACUUCUUCUACGCGUAGCAACCAAGCAACACACAUAGACAAACAAACAACAAUCACGACUAAGAACAAGCAUCAAUCAAAAGUAAAGCUCUGAAAAGUAGAGCGCACUAAACGACAAGGCUUGAGGCUACGAUCGUGACAACACAAGAACGAUUGAGAACGGAGCUAUCGUUAAUCGAACACGACUUUUGAGGUUCGUAGUGUAACGGAGAAGGCGACUAUACGCUGGUCGUAUUUUAUUUAAUAAAUAACUAUAUAACACUGAAGCCAAUAAAGCAUUUAUAGUUUUUGAAAUAUAGCAUAUAUGAAAGCAACUAAUCAAGUGAUUAUAUAUCAUGUUUAAACUAAUCAAGUUAUAAUUAAUAAAGAAACAUUAAGGUUGAUAUUAAUAACGUGGGCAUUUAUUUAUUUACAAAAAGAUCAAAAUUAUAAACUUUAUUUACUUUUAAAUCAAAAAAACUCUAGAUAAAUAUUACUAAAUUAUUUAUUUGCUUCAUGUUUAACUAACCAAAUUAUAAUUAAGAAGUAUUUGAGUUCACAUUUGAUUAUAAAUACCAAAGUGUAAAUCUAAUGUGUUUUAAAAUUAAGUAAAUAGGAAUGCAUUCCAAACAUUAAUCGGAUUAAUUAUACUCAUGAACAUGAGACAAUAAAUAUAGCACCGCUAAUAUGUAUACUACAUCGACAUAGUCACAAUGCAACGAGGACCGAAUUACAACCCUAGAUUGUUCCUAAUUUAAAAGCUAUUUAAUAAAUAUUAAUCAAAUUAUAUUUAAAUCAAUAAAUUCAGAAAUAAGUUACAUGAUAAAUAUUUAUACUACUACGUAAAGCGCGGCGAUAUGAAACUAACGCGACAAGAACGGGCGCAAACGGAAUUAAAACGCGGAUUCUAUGGCCAAAACUAUGUCAGUGGCAAAACUGUGGAUUAUCAUAACUAUUUUUCGUAAUUUAAAUAAUUAAAACAAAAUUAAAAAGUGAUUUGGAUUAAAUCUGCAAAAACCGACGGCUGCAGGGGCUACUCUGCAAAAACCAGGGGCAUAUUUCUAUUUACUUUAAACUGAGCAGGACUGCGGGUUAAUUUUAAAUAAACCCGAGGGCUUAUUUGCAAAAGGGUAAGGGGGCGCGCGGGGCCGUGGCCAGCCUGGCCACGUGGCAGCGGGCGGUUGGCGGGUCCACGGUGGACCGGGUGCGGCGCGGGGUGCACCGGUCCACGGUGGACCGGGCCGAGCGGGGCGCGCACACGGGCAGCGGGGGCGGGCGGCCGGCCGCGGUGGUGCGCCAUGGCCGCGGCUCGGAGCUUCGCCGGGACGGCGAGCCGGGGCAUGGGGAGGCAAGCCGAGGGCGGUGGCGGGUUGCGGGCGGUACGGCGGAGCCGAUGGGCGCGCGGGCCGCACGGAUAGAGGGCCGAAGCGCGCGGAGCUCGCGGUGGCGCGGCUCGCCGGCGACGCGGAACUCCGGCGAGCGCGGGCGCGGGGAAAGAGAGGGAGAAAGAGCGCGCCGAGGGUAUCUCCAUGCUCGUGGCGACCUAGCGAACUCGGGGAGGCACUCACCUUGGCGAAAGAACGACGGCACGGAGGUGUUUCGCGGCGGCCGAAGGGAUCUCGGCGAGACCGAGCUCGAGCAGGGACUAUGUGAUGCGGUUUGAGGCGGCUAGGGUUCCUAGGGAGGCGUGCGGCGGCUGCAGGGCGCCCUUAAAUAGGUGAAGGCGAUCCUCGGUUUGCGCGCGCGCAGAAAUCGUGGCGGCGGCGUCGUCCGCGUCCGAGUCGGGCGGGAGGUUAGGGGUGACCUUCCCCUGACAGGUGGGGCCCGGAUGUCAGCGACUCGGAGCGGGCUGGCAGGCGGGGCCCACGUGGCAGUGGCACGGGCGCUAGGCGAGCUGGCGCAGCUGCUGCUGGGCUGCUGCACGGCUGGGCCGAGGCCCAAGGGGGCGCGUGCGCGUGGGCUCGAAGAGCAGCCAGGCCGGGGCUGGGCCACAAGCACAAGUAGGCCAAAAACGAGGAGGGAAAAAUGAGGAAGAAAAUAACUUCUCUUUUUGCCAAAAUAGAAAUUCUAAACUAAUUUGCCAACCAAUUUUCAAACUAUUUUCAAACCAUAUUUCAAAAUAAAUUUGAUUCAAUAUUUAGGGAUUAUUUUGGAAUUUUUUUAGACUAUUUUGAAAUCUAAAUAUAUUUCAGUUUAAACACAUUUCUAAAUUGUUUUCCAACUCGAAUUUGAAUUAGUUUUCAAAUAGGACUUUUGGAGUGUUAUUUUUCCGAAAACCGAAAGGACCUAAACGUGGCUCGCUAGAAAUUUUGAAAAUUUAUUUUUCUGAGACAAGCCAAACAAAACUAGGGCACAAAACACACAUCAAAUAAAACACCCUCCACUUAAUUUAAUAAAAGUUUUAAAACUCCACAUUUUUUCUCAUUUUAUAAAAACAAUAAUUAAUAAAUUCUUGGAAUAUUUUAGAAAAAAUUUAAAUCCUUAUUUAAUUUAGUAUUUUCUAAUAACAAUCCAAAAUUAAAAUUUUUUUGGAGUGUUAUAGCUUCCCAUAUACACAAAGCGUUUUCUUUUUUCUCAUUUGUUUAUUUGUUUUGAAAACUAUGUUAUCAAAUUUGUUCUAAUUAAUUAUCUUUUAAAAUAAUAUAUUAAAUGGACUCUAUAAUUUAUAUUCAAAACUUUUAUAAAUAUUUGGCCAUUAUUUUAUAUAGUUUUAAUUCUAUUUAUCAGAAUUAUAAAGUUCUAUAAUUGUGGUUAAGAAUCUGAUAUUAGAAAACGACUUAGAAAAAUUAUCAAAAAUUCACAAGAAAUAAUCUCUGUUGUCUAUUCACUAUACAAAAAGUUUUAAGUAAAACUCCAACUCGACACUCAAUUUGACAUCGGAUCUUAAUGGAUCCUAGCUACUCAACUAUUUGAAACUUCUUCAGAGAUGUUCAGAUUUGUAAGCAUUGUAUGUGACAACUUUCGUGAAUUCUUCUCAAAUUUUUAUCAUAGCCUCUACAUAUGACGUCAUGACAUUUUGAGAAAUCUCAUGUUUUUCAGAGUUCGUUUGGUUUUUAUAGAAUUUAAAAAUGACUAGGCCACAACAUCUUGCUCAUGCUUCAUGAGCAAGAUGUUUGAAUUUUGAUAUAACUUACUGCAUUUGAACUUUAUUCGAUUUAAAAAACAUGAAUAUUAUUUUUCCAUUCUUUUUUUUUAAAUUAUUCGAACCACCUACUGUUCAAAUUUGAGUUAUCUCUGAAAAUUCAAUUAAAUGAGGUAAAUUAACUAAAUAUAGAAGAAAGAUUGAGAAUGGUAUAAAACUUUCACAUGGAGUUAUGGUUACGUAAUGAUGUUAGCAGAAAAAGUUUAGAGGCUAGAAGUAAAAAAACAAAAAACAUUUGUUGAGUGUCCAAGCAAAACACUACAAAAUGGUAACUUUGCCUAGUGCCAGUAUAAAACGCUAGGCAAACUAUUAACUUUGCCUAGUGUACUUUGCCGAGUGUCUAACUUUGCCUAGUGUUGGACACUAGGCAAACUGUUGGUUUGCUGAGUGUUUGGUGCCUAGCACUAGGCAAACCACUGAUUUGCCGAGUGUCAUGGUUUGCCUAGUGUCCGGCACUAGGGAAACCACCAAUUUGUCAUGUGCUAUCCUCUGCUGAGGGCUACACUCGGCAAAUCACUUUUUUACCGAGUGCCUAAUAAAUAACACUAGGCCAAGCGUGCGACACUCGACAAAGAACGUAUCCGGUAGUGCAAUGAUGUCAUUCCCAUUGCUGUCAGUCUAAUGAAUAUAAAUUAGAUAUCAUCGCUGAUCUACCAUGAUCCAGUGGCAAUUAAUUACACAUCACACAUCACUGUCAGUCUGGCAUAUGAUCUGGCGGUGAUGAAGUAGCAGUGCCGGCCCUAGGGGUAGGCUAUCAGAUGCGACGCUCGAGGGCUUAGACAGGAGAGGGGCCCAACCCCAAGUAUACAAAACCCAGGUCUAUAGUCCAUUAAGCAUUAGCAAACUAAUGAGAAGAGAGAGAACUGAUCAACCAGCUCAAGAAGACAACAUCGGUCUUUCUUUCCUAGUUUUCUUUUUCUCCCGAUCUUCAGUAUAGAAGGAGACGACAGGCGAGGAGCCACGCCGCACUCUAACUGUGACUAGCGAGUUUGUGACGUGCCGACGCACACACGCGCGACCGAGCCAUGCUGCCACAGAGAGUUGGACACCAAGGAACAGUGCACGACAGCGGUGGCCAUGGAGGGAAUAUAUUUAUUCAUAUGUUUUUAAAUUUUAAAACUCAACAACUUAAGACUUAUUAUUAUUUAUUUUGCUAAUGUUGAUAUAUAGGUAUAGAAGGAUUAUAUUAUUGUAUUCGCUUAUAUAUUAUAAGAUUUUAUAUUUGUAUGGUCUAGAAAGUUCAUCAUGACAAGUUCGCUGAAGGGUCCUUUGAAUCGUAGGACCGCACUGUGAAGUAGUCAUCAUUGUCGGUCAGAUGUUUGACUCGGCAGUGAUAGCUCAUCACCAAUGGUGCAUCUGACAGCGAUAUGAGCUCAUCACUGCCAGUGCGGCGAACAAUCCUAGGGUGACGAAGAGCUCAUCACUGUUGGUGUGUCGCUUGAUGCAACAGUGAUGAAAAUCUCACUACUGUUCGUUGUACCAUGUCACCAUGGUUUGUAUAGGACAAUAGUGAAUAUAUAUUUUGAAUACUAACUAGCUAGCUAGGUCGUCAUUCGCCAAUACACUCCAACAUAAGAAAAAUGUGAAACACACUAAGACAUGUAUUGCAAUGCACUCAAAUUAGCUAGCUAGGUCGUCAAUUAAUUGACAAAUUUUAAGAACAUAUGUGCUGGAGUAGCUGUCUCAGAUGAGGGUGCACAUAUAAUCCAUGACAUAAAACCCACAUUGAUCAUUUCCAAAAGGCUAUGUUGUGAAUGAAUUGGUCUUAUGGUGAACCUAAAAUUCCAAAAUGGUCGAUUUUCUUGUUCUUUUGUGGUACUUCUGCCCUGUAUGGGAAUGAAACUAGAUCGAAGCUAAUAAAAGUCCAAUAUUUGCCGAAAUGGAAUGAUUAGUGUGUCUUACUUAUUAAGUGUUUCUAUCAAGGGAUGGAUAUACUUUCAUUCUCUCAUUCUCAAGUCGAAAAUGGUGAGAAUGCAUUUCUCAAGGUUGAUGUCAAGGACAAAAUGGCUAUUGCAUUUACAACGCCCGAGACAAAUCAGGCUCAAUCUUGGCAUACUCCCUCUGUCCCUUUUUAAUUGUCGCCGUUGGUGUGUGUGCCACAAGUUUGACUCGAUUUAUAGAAAACUAAAACAUUAGGCGCCCUUCGGGCGCCCUAUCUUGACCAUCUGGCUAAAUUUUUUAAGUACUAAAGUAUUUAGCCAAAAUUCUAACAAUAGUUUUCAUAUUUCAUAAAGGACAACACUAAAAAAUAUAUAUAUACAUAUAAACACAUAUUAUUGCACAAUAAAAAAUAAAUUAAAGCUCGAAUGUCAUUUCAGACAUCUUUGAAGACCUUUGCAUCAGGCUACACUUUAAAGGGCUAAUGAACAGUCUCAGAGAUCAAUUUAAGGGGUGAGAUUUGAAGGGAAAAAACACAUAUCUAAGUAGGAAGUGUACAGGCAACUACAGUAAACUUCAGAGUCAGUCCCAAAUUUGGUAAAGAAUAGAAAGAAUCUCUGGUUGAGGCAUCCUUAACACCAAUUUGUACUAAACUCCUCGACACCAGCUGGGCAAGGAAGUCAUUGACGGCGAUAACAUCGGCACUGAUGAAGUAGGGAUCCACAUUUCCCAUGAACAUCAUCUUUGUAUACCUGCUGAGAGAGUCGCACCAAAUCAGUAGCAGUCUUCAUCUACUAUGGAGGAAAGCAGCUGCAACAAUUGCACCAACUUGGAUAGGGCAAAAAAUUCAUGACUUAAGAUCAAAAUCGGUAAAGAAAAAAUAAUCUCUAUAGCCAACCUUAAAAAAACAUCUUACAAGCUGUCUAGCAAGUUAGCUUUCCUGCAAGCUAGUCCAAAAUUAGAGGUAAGGUCACUAUAAUGUUAUAUGGAGUUACAGACUGAGUAGCUAAAUUUACAUUCCGAAGAAGACAGAGGAAUGGACCAUACUGUUACACAUCUUCCUGAGCUUUUUGUUGGUUUGCUUAAUUUAAAGGAAUAUAUCAAAUGUCAAUCAAUUGAGGAUACAGGCAAUGUAGCAACAAAAAUAAUGUGCUGAUUACAAAAUACUAAAGAAUGCCUAGCAGAUGGUUUAUUAAACAAAUAGCACGAGCAACAAAUGGUUGCUGCUUCCUUACUGCAUGAUGUUUACUCUCCACUAUAUACUGACAAUACACUGAUUUCAGUGUAAUGCAUAUGCAUAGAAAAUGGCUUGUUAUUAGUAAAACUUGGAAGCAUGAGGAGCAGCAACUAAUACAUCAAUUUUUUUUUCUACAGAUGACCUUUUGGUUGAAACUUAAAUAUAGUACAUCAUUGAGGAGCAGCAAAAUUGAUCCAAUAUUGUUUGCCCCAUGCUCUUGUUACUUGUUAGACGUAAUAUGCAAGUUAAGCCAUUGAGUAGUUUAAGUUCCAACAGUGGUCAAAUCAAAACGGUCGACCAUGAAUGCUAUAUAGAUUAUAUAUCUAUUUUGGCCAGCAAUUGGCAUAUAUUUUGGACAACUAAAGCCUGAAGGAGCUAAUUCAUGCUAUGACUGAGAGUGAAAUGCUAGCAACUGCAAGCAAAGUAUUUUGGAAGUCACUUGCUUUCGUGAAAGGCUAAUCAUGCCUCUGCAACUUAUCCUAAAGUAGGAUGCACAACACACAUGAGUAGCAAUAGCCAUAGUGAAUAGUAAAAAUGAUGCUAACAUACUUAAAUGCACAGGACACUCCUUGAAAUCUUGAACAUGGAAUUCUAGUUCACCUGAACCUAGGCCGAAACGUUAUCAUAGCAAUCUCAUUAACUGGAUAUGCAAAAUAAUAGUUAUGCAGAUCGAUCAUCAGAGGUUGAAAAUAUUCUGACUCGCAUGAUCUAAAAAAUGGGAAACAAUAUUAACCUUAAAGUAACAUGUCCUUGCUAAGACAAGAUAGCUUCAACCACAGGACCUUAAGCAGCAGCAGCAGAAGCUAUACGCCCGGAGGCACUGGAAGGUGCAGAUGACACUCAACCGCUGCAAUUAUGGAAGAGACCAUGGCGGCAACCAGCUUAGAGGAGCAUCUAUGGGAGAAGAAUAAAGCUGAUGCCCACCUCGGGAAAGCACAUCACCAAUGCACAGAUCUAGAGUUGGGAACCACAUCAUGGUGCGAUCGAUGACUGAUCUUUGAGGAGCCAAGGAGUCAAGGGGAUGAAAGCGUACAGAUGGCAGGAGAGGGAAAGAGACCAGAUCUUACCACCGCCAUGUCGUACUUCCAAGGUCUGGUGGGAUCCUCAUGUGCUGCCAGGAUCUGGGCGAGUUCCUUAUCCAUUGCCACAGGGAAGAAGGCCUAGGAGAAAGGCUCACGGAGAGGGAGGAAUGAAGCUGCCUUUCAUGUGUGUCUAGGGACCACAGUCGUGGAGGAGCGACGACGGCGAUCCGAGAGGUGCGUGCAAAUGCAAGGGGCAUCGGCGGCCUGGAAAGAGAGAAUGGAGAGGGGAAUGAGGAGGGAAAGAGCUCGGCACUCUGCUAGGUGGAAGGGGCUCCCUGCAAAAUAUCAAGGGGAUUCUGCAAAAGAUGAGCAAGUCACGAAUUUCUUCUUCUCCAUGUGCGAAUAAAAUUUAUUUCAGGUUAUGGACUAUGCAGUGGAGCGCGGGUUAGUUUUUGAAGAAAUGGAGUGCAUCUCUGUAAAAUCGUCAAAGGCAUACCUGUCGCCACGGUAGAAAGCCACGGAGGCCAGAAUUCUCUGGAGGCAGCGAAGUCGAGUGACUUUUAAUCAACCCCGAUACGUGCAACAUUUAUAUCUCCAAAUAAAUUUGUUAAAAAACUAGAUUCAAAGAUCUUUCUAAUGAUACUAAUUAUGUAUUAUAAAUAUUAAUAUUUUUUAAUAUAUAAUUGCCGGCAGUUGUUUUUGGGAAGCGCAAACGACAAUUAAAAAGAGACGGAGGGAGUAUGUAUUGAAAAUAGGGAUACAAUAAGGACAAUCGUACGUACAUAUGGAAGGUUAGAAGUGUGAAUUAUUUGAUUUGCUGGGCAAGCAAGCCCUUUGUCUAUUCAUCGAUGACGCUAUUUAUCGUGUAUUGUCUUCUCAUUGUACAUAACUGAAGGACCGAAAAUGGUAACCAGGAGAAGGUGACUGAAAGCCUCAAAUUUCUUUUGAAAUAUUUGGCCACUGUCCUAAAAUCACUUCCAAGUACAAAUGAGUUUCAGGAUUAAGAUAUCCAGGCCAACUAGUGUCGAGAGUAUCUAGAUUGAUUGCUCGUAGCGGGAAAAAAUUAACGCAAUAAACGGAACACGAUUCGGAGAUCAAGCGAUUAAACUAUACACGAAAUAGAAAAUCAAGAUAGAGUAAAAGAGACUGAAAAAUGCAAAGAAAAAUCAAGCUUGAUGAACACAGAGAAAACUGCGCAGGUAUUGACACGCACACUGCAAUCAACUUCUGAGCUAAACAAAACUAGGGAUCACAGGCAAACAGCUGCUGCUUCAGUGCUGAAAUACUCUGCCACACAGCAAGAACAGGCGAGGGUGCCUGAACCCAAAAGAUAGCUCCUGCAUGGUGCCUAGGAGCACGAGCACGGCUCCUGCCUCGGCCUCCACGACGAACGAGCAGCCGACCUCCCACGAUGAACAGCACGGCUGUUAGAUAAGCCUAGCAUCUAUAUUUAGCACUUGCAUGUUUUUCUUUGAGUUGAGCACAUGCACAAGCACCAACUUAUGGUCGCCGUGCGUAUAGGAAGAGAUGGCCGAGGAUAGCUCGCCACGAACUCUGGCAUGCAACCACGGGCGAUAUUCGCGAGCGUGGGGAUGGACGCGCAAUUCUACGUUGUGUGUAUUGUGGACGCUAUGCGCUGCAUCAUUGUAUUUUUUCAAUAAAUAGAACAAUAACACCCAGAAAAGCUGUGCUUUUGCAAGCAGCACCAAAUUCACUUGCGCACAGUUCGCGUUCCAGUUCGUUCGCCUCGUCUCCAUCGGCGUACAUAGCUGUCCGGUGACUAACAACGGCAACAGGUCAGGGCCAAAACAAUCGGCACAGCCUGUACGACUCAGCUGCAGGGGAAACGGCAACAGACGCAAAACUGAUUGACGCCGAGCCUGACCGCACCGGUGGCCAGCUGUCCCCCUCACCAGUAUGCUCAACUGGAGCUCAGGCCUUGUUUAGUUCACCCAAAAAUUUAAAAUUUUUCAAAAUUUUCUAUCACAUCAAAUUUUAUAGCACAUACAUGAAGUAUUAAAUAUAGAAAAAAAUAAAAACUAAUUGCACAAUUUACCUGUAAAUCGCAAAAUGAAUCUUUUGAGCUAAGUUAGUCUAUGAUUGAACAAUAAUUAUCAAAUAAAAACGAAAAUACUACGGUAUGCAAAACCAAAAAAAUUCAAAACUAAACAAGGCUGCACGUGAUGAACAGAGGAAGCCGACGGAAGAAAACCAAAUAAAAAUCAACAUCAAGAUGAUUCGCUCCUAAACUAAGCACAGGUGAUCUCAAUAAAGUUGAUGACCAUACUUUAUGAGAUCAUCGCUCAAAAUCAACUCAUAACUUGGGAAAGUCAGAUCACGUGGAAGAACUAAAAAAACCCCAAAACCAAAAAUUGCUUGGAUCUUGAUGCACGAGUAGAAUUGAUUCAAAUCACUUGGUGAGCAUGUACAUCACUUGAUGGAGCAUCAUCAGAGCCAAACCAAUUCCACAGAAAACUCAAUACGAGCACGGAUCAAGAAAGGGAGAAAACUGAUGAACAGUAACUCAGAAAAAUAAAAAAUAGGAACACAAACAACAUUGCUCAGAUCUUCAUGUCCAGAGGACAGGGGGAGGUUAGGGCCUGCAUUCCCAAAUCCAAAAGUCUCAGAAAUCACCACGAAUCUUUGUUCAAGUGACCUCUCCCAUGAACUAAGCAGAAGGGGAAAAAACUAACCCUAGGUGGGAAUGAGAGAAAUGAUAGGAUGGGAGAGUGGUGAGGGAGAUGGGGGACUCCCCCUCCUUAAUUAUCGGGCAUAUUACACAUUCCCUAUUUGUCCCUAUAUAUUUUUGAGUGAACUAGCUAGCCUCAGAGGUAUUCUAGUCCAACUCGACAUAACCUAAAUUCGACGGCCACCAUAUGUCCUUCAUGAGGUAACUUAGCCUUGACGCCAACUCCUCGAUGCCGCCACGUGCCGUCCGUUCCUCGGAACAUCCGCCCUGGUUUUGAUGCCCAAACCCGCGAAACCCGCCGCCAGUAGCGUACUCCAUACGCUUCCCCUGCCACUCGACAUGUGUCACCUCCGUCUUUGACCGGCCAGCCCGCCAAGUCCUCCUGAGCCUCGCUCGACUCUCACGUCCACCGUCUUGACUUGGUCGAUACGGUCACUCUCAUGUACACUUGCAUUUAUCGAUGUCCUAGAUGUCAGCCACUACGACUGGUCACCCGGCCUCCUGGUCCGUGAGUCCAAGCCUCACAUCAAACCUUCACCGCUCUAGGUCCAUUGGCACGAUACGUCUCUACUUGACCUUCUCCUCGCCGUCGAUCACCGCUUCCGAGCUCCACACCUGCAUACCACAAGCCAAGAGACAUGUCACAUGACACAACUCACGCCAAUGGUUAGUCACCAACUCAAUCUAGAUCAUGGAUCACGUUGAUAAUCACUCAUCACAAAUCGAAGCACAAGGGCACAUUUCAACCUUAUUAUGUUCGCAAUAACUGUUUUUAAGAAUCCUAUGUUAAUCCCUCUCAACCUACAUAUGUGUAGCCAUCCUACAAAACUCAGCCUAUAUCAAUCCUGCCUUCUUUUGGAUCUGGAAAUCAAAAUGCAUCCUAAGAAUUAAGGGCUAGUUUGGUUACUGCCAUGAGAAAAUUGUCUGGUGCAGGGAGCUUUCCUAGGUGGCUGAUUUUAGACGCCUGGGGUGGAGACCGAUACCUGGGGCAGUCAUCAAACCAAACAGGCCCGAAUGCUUGGCUGGUCAUGGUGGACAAGCUAAACACCAAAACUACGCUGUGGCGCCAAAGCAUUAAUAUGCAAGGAGAUGUUUACCACGUGACGUGCAACAACAUAAUGGGGGUAUUGGUCAAAUCACAUUCUUGAUUUUUCUAAUUACCGAUGUUGAUCGGACGUUUGUUGCAUAGUCUAUUUCAUUUAUAAUGAUGAUAUUCGAGUUAAAACCUUGGAGUAAAAUUAAAGGGGCUCUAUUUCCAUGUUUCCAGAUGUUUGAUUCUCAAAGUAAAUUAUGUUCAGAGAAAAUGAUGACAACAAAGAAGAUCAAGUAAAGUCCAAUUCUUGGUUAAUAUUACCUGAAAAAUGUCAAUGAGCUCGUUGUUGGCAAAAGCUGAUUGUCGUGUGACACAGUCAAGCAGGAAUACGCCACCUAUAUGACUACAAGUAAAAGAAAAUUAAAUGCAAACGAUAAGUCAUCCGUGAUCUCCAUCCUGAAACAUCUCUUGCGCAGCUUUACUUGAUCAGAGCAUGUUAAUAUCAAUUCAAUGGCAUGACAUCACGGACGCAGAAGUCUUUACAGUUACAGUAUAUGGAUGCCGAAGGAUGUGAAACAACAGAGAAGAAACGUUGGCGUCAAAAGGAUGGGAGAAGAAAUAUCAUAUACUUUUAUAAAGCAAAAUCAUACUACCUAUUUCUCUCAACGUCUAUUUCUCUCAACGUCUAAUCUAUCCAUCUAGGCAAUUCACUAUCAUACACAAUUAAAAUUCACUACCUCAUGCAAUUGUAAUGUCUACGUCAGCAUGUCACCUAUUUCUAUGAGCAUGCAAGCUGUCCAACUAAGUAAUACACGCUCUAACUUAUUGAUAUUCUUUCUUCAUACCCAAAACAACGCGUGAAGAAUCCUUCUAAUUUCUAUAAUGUUGCAAAGUCGUGCUAGCUUCUAGAUCGCAGCAAAAAAAUCUGAAACACCAAAAUUCCACCAUGUAGUGCGCAACGACGAUAAACACCAUGGUAGCCACAGGUACCUCGCUAUCUAUGAUAAUAUUUUCUACCAGUUGAAUACUGCUCAUUAGUCCUGGUAAAAAAAAAUACGAGCAACCAUGCAGAGUUGAUAGUGAGUGGAUUCGACCACAUCCAUCGAAAUCUCCAUGCUCAAUUCGCGUAAAUAUAAAAGGACAUAGUUCUUAUUUUUUGAGGAGUUAAACGAUUUAAAAUUUGAACAAAGCUAUAUAAAAAUUCUAACCUUUAUGAUGCAAAAUAAGUACCAUGAAGUUAAUUAUGAAAUGUAUUUUUUUAGUAAAUCUAGUUGGAGAUAUAAACUUGGUCACAGUUAAGGUUAUCUGACUUGCGUAAAUUCCAUAGUUGCAUUUUUGUGGACUGAAAAAGUAUUAUACUAAGUGGCUAGGAUUCACAACUAACAAUUGAUGGACGCUAGCUUAUCAUCUUGAUCGAUCUAAUCAUCAGUCGCCUCUUCUACGUCUCUUUCCCCGCGGGCAAAUUUUGUGGUCCGCCCCAUGAAAGCGUUCAUAACCACCCAUAUUUCUUUCCCAGAAAAGAUUUCUUUAGCUGCUCACCUAUGAAAUGCAUCAUGCAUGACAUGGUGGAAAGGUAUUGGUCAAAUAAAAUUCUUGAUAUUUAAUUACCGAUGUUGAUCGGAGGUUUCCACAAUCAUUUGCCUGUAGUAUAUUUCAUUUAUAAUAGUAAGAGAUGUAAUAAAGAAAGAUAUGUCUAGGGUUGAAAUAUAUAUGGAGGUAUAUGACGACAUACACCUUUUUUAGUAACGCCAAACAGGCAAAGACGCUACAUGUAAACAUAUCGAUGAUAUUUGAGUUCAAAUCGUGGAGUAAAAGGGUCUCUGCUUCCUUGUUUCUAAAUUUUUAAUUUUCAAAGUAAAUAUUCCUUCAAAGAGAGUGAUGGCUAGAUCUAGUGUAUUAGAGUCGAACUCUUGGUAAAUAUUACCUGCAAUGUCAAUGAUCACAUUGUUAGGAAGAGUUGAUUAUCGUGUGACACAAUCAAGCAGAAAUACGCCACCAAUAGGACUACAAUAAAAACAAAAUUAGGCCUUGUUUAGUUGGUGAAUUUUUUUGCUUUUCGCUACUAUAGCACUUUCGUUUGUAUUUGGUAAUUAUUGUAUAAGGACUAUUUAUGGCUCGAAAGAUUUGUCUCAUAAAUUUUAGACAAACUAUAUAAUUAAUUAUUUUUUAUUUUUAUUGCUUGAUGCAUAUGCCGUAAGAUUCGAUGUGACGGUGAAUCUUGAGAAAUUUGGGAACUAAAUAAGCCCUAAUAUGGAAGCGAUCAGUCGGUCCGUGCACCUUCAUCUCCUCCUGGGCCGAGUUUAGUUGCCGAAGAAUUUUGCAAAAUGGUCAAGAUUUCCCGUUGUAUCGAAUCUCGCGGCACAUGCAUAAAGCAUUAAAUUUGGAUAAAAAAUAACUAAAUGCAUAGUUUGCCUAUAAUUUAGGAGACAGAUCUUUUGAGUCUAGUUAGUGUUGGAAAUAAAAGCAAUUUAGCGAUGCAUAGAUUAAUUCCGACAACAAGAAAAAGACUAACAACAUGUAUCACAGAUACAUGAAUCAAAACUAGCACUACGAUUUGAGACAAAUUCACGAGAUCUAGUGCUAGCAAUAGAAAUGAUAUGAGAGCGAACAACAGCGAGAAGGUAGACAUCCUUACAGGGGGUUGUUGGCGCGAAGGAAGAAGAAGAAAAGGACCAUCGACGGAGAUCGGCAAACACUGGACGUAGAGGGAAGAAGAUGUCCAGCGAGCAGUCGCGACGACGCUUUCCAAAAACCUGAUAUGCCCCCUACCUCGAGCAGGGGUGCAAGAGGCGUAGGCUUCAGAGCCUACUCUCCUAACACCGAUGGCACGUCGGCGACGGGAUGGAAAAGACAGCGGCAGCGUAGUAAUGUGGUGAGGAAGAGAUGAAUCUCUCGGUACUGAGGAGGACAUCUCGCUCCAUAUUUAUACACACGUCGCACGCAACUAAGGAAAGCAAUUAGCCGCUCAAUCAUUCAUAGUAUUAUGGAAAUUAUCUGCCGUUUACUGAUGAAUUAUGAGGAUGCUACGAUAGCUAGGAAACAAAAAAUUUCGACCUCAUAAAGCAAGAUCAACUACAAGUUAUAAAUCACGGGAUUACCACUAGACGCGCAGGUGCAGCGGAAGCGACUUGGUGUAGUCGUGCGCAUAGUAGCAGUGUCGUGCAAUUGCGUGGUCGUCCACCACGCCAAUCCCUCUCCUGCGGUUCGUCCUUGUGCUCUAGAUGCAGCACCUCCGAGGUAUCCCACACGUGUGGGGAAGAAGCAUUACGCGUCCGGACUACUAGGUCCGCGAGGAGCAAUAGGCACGAGCGUGGGUGAGCGUCGGCGGCUGCCUAAUGGCAUUAGAUUUUUUCCUAGCCACACCCUCUCCCUCUCUUAUAUAGGCGUCCUCCAAUCAGCCAUGAGUCGGAGGCCCAAUUAGAAACCCUAAGCCUUGUCUAAUUCGAGACCAACCCGAAUUAGGUUUCCAGCCCCUUAAGCGUGCGACCCUAUGGGUUGACUUAUAUAUAGACAUGGGUCGAGUACUCCUACUCCCCAAUAGUUGACAGCGGCCUCUAGCAAGGCGUGACAACUCCUAUACGUAUGCAAAGAUCAUAUCAGACGAUCCACUACAUACAUAUACAUGUUAUUCCCUUGCCACACGAUAUUUGGUCCAACUCAUGGGUUAACACUUAACCCAAUCACGGCCAUGCAUUUGUUGAUCCAAUCACUUGAGUGAUCCAGUGAUAUCUCUCUCACAUAGAGAGGGGCAAGUUCCAUCUUGAUCAUCUAUGUCUCACAUCAUGUUUCCCGACAAACCCGAAGACCACCUUUAUAACUACCCUCUAAUGGAGUAGCGUUUAAUAGUCACUAAGUAGGUCAUUUCACAUCUUGAGAACAUACGACAAUCUCAGGUCUAAGGACAUAAUGUACAUGAUGUAUAAAGAGAUAAUAAGAACAUCUCAUGUUGGACCAGUCCAGCCCCAUGUCAUACAUGUGCCCACAUUAUUAGUUUGACAUCUCUAUGUCUAUGACUUGUGAAACAAAGUCAUCAACUAAUACAUGUGCUAAUCUAAUAUUCAUGUGUAUCCUCACACAAACUGUGAUCAGGGACAACUUUAGAAUAACCAUACAAGUAAAAGACUUUCACAAACAAUUCACAUAAUUGUUAAUCAAUACAAGUUUGUUUAUAAUGGAUAUUCAUCGAACUCAUAUCAUGCUUAGGCUGUAGAAGAGCCUUUGUCAAAGGAUCUGCAAUAUUCAAAUCCGUAUGUAUCUUGCACAUCUUAAUUUCACCUCGCCUAAUGAACUCUCGAAUGAAGUGAAACUUCCGUAGUACAUGUUUGUUCUUCUGUUGAUUCCUAGGCUCCUUAGCUUGUGCAAUCGCCCCAUUGUUGUCACAAUGUAGAUUCAAUGGGCUCGACGCAUUCGGAAACACACCAAGCUUAAAGAGGAACCUCCUCGUCCAAACACCUUCAUUCGCAGAUUAAGAAGCUACGAUGUACUGUUGAUGGUAGAUAAGUAUCAAUUUUAUAUCAACAAGAGAAUGAAAUAAGGGCAUGAAAUAAUCACCAAUAAUAGAAUAGGGUUUCAUCUGACAGAUUUCCAUAGGUUUUGGUGAAUGUCUGUUUUUGUAGGGGGUUAUCAGGAAUUAACCCUUGGAGGCCCACAUGUCAUGAUUACAUAGAGCAAAACGAGAUAUCUACGCAAUGUAUACAAAAUAAGGAUCUAGAAGAGUCAAGAAUCCACCAGAACAAAGUAGAACACGAGGGGAGUCCGGGGGAGGGCGUCUAGAGGGGGCGGCCGCCCUGCCCUCCUGACCAAUCAGGAGCAGUCUCGUGGAUUGAGCUAUAACCGCCUUUGAGGAGCAAGGAUCUUCGUCCAUUAAGUUGGUUUGAUCCAAGGCUCUUGGUUCAUCCCACCGGCCUAUAUAAGGAGUACAGCCUAGGGUUAGAGACAUUGAUUAGAAGAGAUAAUCAUUCUCAUUCAUAGAAUUCAUUCUCUACCUUCUUCUCUCUAGAGCUCUAAGUUUAGAAGCAUAGCUACAUAGAAUAAUUCUAGUUGGAGGCAAGCAUCGCUUGGUUUCUAGAUCUGUCGGAGAGAUACUCGGUAAUUCCUGUAAUCUUUCUCCUACUUUAUUCUAGUUCAUCAUUAUAUAUAUUAUUUCAUCAUAUUAUGAGUAUGUCUUUGCUCUAUUCUAUUAUAUUGGAUAUGACUUUGCUCUACUUGCUUAUAUUCUUAAUUAUAUUAUUCUUAGUCUAUUAUGAUUAUAUGCUUGGCAUAGUUGGUUUAGAUUUAUAUUCAAAUAUAUGUUCAUAUAGCGCUCACUCUUUGAUAUCAUGGGUGGUCGACAUUAUGUAGGUGUGGUGCCUAUAUCGUGUUUGCCUAUGUUUGCAUGCUAUAUUCUAGGUCGUGUGGUAGAUCGCGGGGUUGAUAUACCCAUUGAGUCCUCUGUAGUCCACCCUCUAAAUGUAGUUUUUGUAGACUCUAAUUACGAGGAGAUGAUUGCUCUGUUCUUGAUUUUCCUCAAUAAUGUCCAUAUGUUUAGAUAUAAUCUGCUCUUGCUAUGAUUGCCAAGUAUAAUUGCACUAAUCAUAAUAUGCUAGACUAUAUAGUUGGAAUAUCAUAGGAAACAUCUUAGUAGAUCAUUCUAAUUCAUGCUAGUGCUAUAGACUGGAGUACUCUAGAGAUACAUUUAUCAUUCUAUGUUUGAUUACUAUUAAUUAUAUAUAUAUAUCUAUAUUUAUCUUGAUUAUGUGACUUAACCCUGCAUUAAGUUAGAUAGAUAAGAUGUGGUUGCCCUCAUGAGAUUACAUGCAAGUGAUAUCUAUUCCCUUGGCUAUCCUUCCCGCGGGUAAAAUUAUAAAUACGAUACCAGGAACUUCCCUUGGUGAAAUGCUACAAUGGUACACAUUUGUGCGCUUGCGGAUACCUUAUUCUAUAUUCAUCAUUCUAAGAGGGCAUUACAUAUUUACUACCACUAGCGUAUUUCUUGGGGUCAUGCUGGGGAUGGCAACCUAGCCACUGAGGAUAGGGUCUUUACUCUACUCUUAAUAUGUGAUGCUAAAAAAUGCCAACGAGUAUUUGUGGCACCAUUGUCAGGGAAGGUUUUGGCUAUUCAAAAGGAAUUAGAGACAUCACUUGUAAACCACUCUCACAUGAGGCAUUAUUAUUAUCUCUAACUUAUGCAGGCUCACCCUUGUCUUUUGUCUAUUUAUGUAUCUUAUGCAGGGUGAUGUAUGAAAAGAUCUGAUCUUCCAGAUAAUUUCACUAUCUAUCCAGAAGCAAUACUCAAGAGAAAUAGAGCUAUGUUGAAGAAAGUACACAAAUCACCAUCAUUAUCAUCAUCAUCUUCAUCUGAGCUCGAAGAUUCAAUUGAUUCGGAAGGUCAUUCAAGAGUUAUUCGAAGUUUGACACCAGAGUUUGAAGCGAUGGCCGAAAGAUCACUUUGCGAGUUCUCUCCUCCCACCACUGACAACAUCCACACUAGACCUAUUGUAAAUAUUGGCGAUCAACCAUUUGAGCUCAAGCCGGUGCUGAUCAACAUGGUGCAAGCUAGCUGGUUUUGCGGAAAGACGCAUGAAGAUGCGAGUGCUCAUCUUCAGAACUUUCUGGAGAUAUGUAGCACUUUCACUAUCAAAUGAGUUACAAGAGACACCAUACUACUCUGUCUUUUCCCAUUCUCACUCUUGGGAAGGGCGAAGCAGUGGUUCUACACUAACAAGGACAAGAACACUACAUGGACGAUCUGUUCCACCAACUUCCUGGCUAAAUUCUUCCCUGUGGGCAAGUCGAAUGCUCUGUGAGGGAAAAUUUCAAGUUUUCAACAACAUAAUGAUGAGACAGUCCCAGAGGCCUAGGAGCACUUCCAAGAUUACAUCCUAGAAUGACGUCAUCAUGGAAUAGAGAAUUGGCUACUCAUGCUAACAUUCUAUCAUGGGUUCUCCAAUAGCACCCGUGAGACCAUGGAUGCCGCUGCUAGAGGAGCAUUCUUAUCAUCGACUCUUGCUCAAGCCACUGCUCUUGUGGAAAAGAUGGCCUCCAAUCAAGGUUGGAGUGGAGAACGUGCGCAAACCCGCAAGAGAGGUGGAGGUAUGCACCAGCGCAAGGUAGUAGAUAUGCUGAGCACCAAGAUGGACUUUCUGAUGAAGAGGCUCAAUGAUAGAGCUAGUGAGAAGAACAAGGUCAUGCACAUUAUUGACUCUCGUAUGACUUGUGAAGAAUGUGGAGACACUGGGCAUUCAGGCAACCACUGCCCAACACUCCAGGAGGAUAUGAGCUACCUCAACAACAACUACUAAAAUCGUCCUAAAAAAUCAAGGCUGGAAUCAACAGAGGCCUAACUACUCAACCAACUACUCCUCAUGUAACUACCAAGGUAACAACUUUAGCAAUAAUUUCAAUCAACCACCUUUGAGAGAGUUAGUUGUGAAUCAAGGAAAACUCAUGGAUAAUCUGUCUAAGAAAAUUGCAUCCAGUGAUAAAACUUUAGAAACCAUAAAUGCUAGGAUGGAUAACUUUGCAAUAGCAAUUAAGAAUCAACACAACUUUAAUAAAAUGAUUGAAUCUCAAUUGAUAAUUGUUGUUCCUACUACUAACCAAGGAAAGAUUCUAGGGCAACCGAAAGAAUUAGAAUCUACAAAUCUUGUUGAUAUAUACACUGCAGGGAAGUAUUUUAGGGCUAUAUCAACUGGAGGCUAGAAAUAUGAGUCCUUGCCUGAGAAGAAAGGUGAUCCAGGAAGGCCGAUCAUCCCCAUCAACAUUGGAUGCAACCACUUCCUAGAAGUCCUUUGUGACUUUGGUGCAAGCGUCAAUAUCAUGCCUAAGGUAUUAUACGAGAAAAUUCAUGGAGAUCCAUUGUUGUAUACAACCAUGUGCUUGCAGAUGGCAGACUAUAUGCUAUGCUACCCGAAAGGAAUCCUUGAAGAUGUCUAUGUUCGAGUUGGCCAAUCAUAUGUCCCUGCAAACUUCAUGGUAAUAGAGAUCGGAGGUGAUGAGAGAGCACCCAUCAUCUUGAGUGCCCAUUCUUGUGCACCACCAAGGCCAUCAUCUACACCGACAAUGCAAAGAUCAGUUUCAACAUCAAGGGGAGAAAGGAGAUGUUCACCUUCCGAAAGUGUACACUCAAAGAUCCUGCACAUCCUGAGACACUGUACGAUCAUCAGAACUAUGAUGGAGCUGAGAUAAAGAAGAAGAAUCAAAGGAACAGGAACCGACAACCAAUGGUUGAGUCAGUGAGGAUGGUCACAGCCGUUGACAAAGACCAUGACCAUCUCCUCAUAUCUCGCCACUUGAUCAAAAGAGAAGACCCUGGUGCGCCAACUAUUGAAUGGUCACAGCCGUUGACAAAGACCAUAAAUAGAUGCUCCUUUUAGAAGACAGUUUGCGACACUAGAGCCAAAGUCAACAUCAUGGCUAAGGUAACCUAUGAAUUUCCUUUAGGAGGAAAAGGAAGUUGAGGACACUUUUUCCAAUAUGCUCUUCUAAGAAGGUCUGAUCGACGUACAAGCAUCUUAGCUAACUGAAAGUCUAAAUCAUCAUUGUGAGGUUUUGAUGGUUUAGAGUUGAUAACUAAAUCUUGGGAUUGGGGUGAUUGUGUUUUAGCUACCAAAACUUCCUCUUCUUGUUUGGGAGAUGAUUCCUUCUCUUCCUCGGAGAGCUCAAGAUAGGCCUGAACAACCUUUUCUAGCAUCGGUCUGGCUUCAGUUAUAGGCAAGUGAAGAAAAGCUCCUCCAGAGGCUAAAUCAAGGGAUUCCUUAGAUUCUUUGGUAAGACCCAAAUACAAAUAUUGAAGAAGCAUGGGGUCUGGAAAACCAAGGUCACGGCCAAAUGUGAUAAGUUCAUUAAAAUGCUCCCAUGAUUUACUAAGAGAUUCUUGUUCUAGUUGCCUAAAAGUUUGAACCUCUUUUCGAAGGCUAGCUACCUUGGAGAUGGGAAAAAAGUGUAAACAUAAUUAAAAAUAUACCAUGUCCCAAUCACCCUACAUACUCCCUAUGACUCGAUUAUACCAAUGUUUAGCUUUUCCUGUCAAGGAAAACGAAAAAAGCUUCCAUCUAAUAGUCUUAUCAGACAUGCCAUUAAUGCGCAAGCAUGCACAGGUCUGCUCGAAUUCUCAUAGAUGUAAGUAUGGGUUUUCAUUACCUUCUCUCGAGAAGGGUUUAUCCCGUACCAUAUUAAUUAAACAUGGGCGCAGCUCAUAGCCAGGUGUUGUGAUAGGUUCAUUAGAUUUUGGUGGCCUGAAGCUUCCACACAUGCCAUAAGGACAUAUAGGAAUAGAAUUAAAAGCAUCCAUAAGGAUGAACCCAAAAAUAAUGAUGAGAAUGAGAUAAAAAUAAGAAAACAUAAAAGUAUAAUACAAGAUUAAAAUGCUUGUUGGUAUAAAUUAACUGCACUCCUUUAAAUAAGACUUAAGUAAGAUUAUCCGCAAACGCACAGAUAUCGUACUAAUGUCACAUUUUACCCGGAGGUUUUAAAUAUCGUAUCCACAGGGAACAGUUGUGAUAAUGACAAAGUCUAUAGACCUAACCCAACAAUUAGGCAAGAUAAAUAUCGAGAAAGAGGAAAUAGCUAAUGACUUCUAGUUCCGACAACCGGUAAGCUUUGUAUAAUAUUGUUCUAACUAGGUAGUAACCUAAUAGGAGAAGAAAUAGAGUAGUCUCCAACCGGCACUUCUGGGGCUCCUAUCAGUCCUAUCAAUGGGAAAUGAACUACAGAGGAACCAACGCAGCUGUCACCUACACGGACUACCACUAUCCGACUAAUAAGGGGACAUCCACAAGUAAACCUAGCCUAGGCACCACGCCUACACUACGGAAUACAACUUUAACCUACAGGGUCCUAUAGAUCAAAGUACUCAAUACAAGUUGCAAACUGAAGAACGAAUAAAAACAAAUGCUUACUUGAAUCAGAAUGUUGAUUACAAAAGUACCUCAUAAUGCAGCUCCGGGCAAGGGAGCUGAACCCUGAAGAAUACAGCAAAGAAGCGCCGACAUGCCAGAAAUCCUCCACAACUCUACUCCUCUACUCUAUCUCUCUAUUAGUCUCUUCUAAUAGCUACACCUAUCUUUUAAUCUCUAGAGAAGAGAUGUUAUCCAUUCGAGGGACACCUAUACAACUCAUAAUAAUGGUGCACUCAAAUAUGAGGGUCUACCUCUUUAUUUAUAGCCUAGAAAAGCCUCCCACCUCUUCUGAACAGGCGAUAUGUGGAACUAAUUUUCCACCGUUUGCUCUGUUGGGCUAUUAUACAUCAACUUGAGCCUUCCAAUCAUCCCUCAUGUGAGCCCACUCAAAGGAGCAGCAGCUUGGGGCACCUCUCUUGGGCCUCUAUCAUGCCAUAUGAGCCUCUUCUCACGUCAUGGGCCUUCCUUGGGGGUGGGGCCCAUUAGUGGCAAUUCUCCUUUAUUUGUAAAAUUAAUAUCUUUUCACUCCAGACUCCAAAUAUAGCAAAUGGUAUGUCCGUUUCGAUCGUCUUGACGAGCCCAUUGCAAUGGUGUCAUCCAAAACGUCAUUUGACAUAUUUUUAUUUGAUGGAAAAUUGCAUAUUCCUACAAAACAAGUGAGAGCACCAAAACUCGUGGAACUUGUUAAAAUCAAAACCUACAACUAUGCUUUGUGAUUUAUUUUAUAUUAAAUUAUGUAAUAGUUGACGGUUAUAUUUGGUACUUAAUGACCGUCAACUUUUUAUAGCAAUGUUCCUUAUACAUAAACGAAGAGUCUUUUGUGCUAUAUAUGAUAGUGUAGCAUUAGAGUAGAUGGAUGACUUGAUAAAUUAGAACUACAUAGGAUUUUCUGUCUCUUGAACUAAUCAAACGUCUACCUAAUAUUAAGCUGAGUAGUCUAUAUCUAGUCUCUAUAUUCCCUGGGCUUCUAUAUUUUAUAUAUUAUAUAUCUAUGGUUUACUCUCUUGCCAAGUAUGUGACUAUGCAACCCAAUCACUCAUAAGUAGACAUGUUUUGCAAGUUGAUCUCAUUGUUUAAGUCCUUAGUUCUUUUCCUUGAACUAAAUAUAAAUAAUAAUACCAGGAAUACUUCUCGGUGAAGUGCUACAAUGGUAUUUAAUCUGUACGCUUGCGGAUCCUAUAUUUAUUUUAUUAGUGGACAGUUUUUAUACCACACUUCUAGCACCAUGCUAGGGAUGACAACUUAGCUUAAGUAGUGUUAGAAGUGUCAACAAGCAUUUCUGACGCCGUUGCCGGGGAAGGAAUAAACUUUUAGAGAAAAAUUGCCUAAACAGAUACUUAAUAAAUGAGUAUGUAGCUUGCUAGUGACCUCUACUUGGCAGGUUUACCCUUGUUUGUUUUUUCUGUGUUUAUUUUUUAUACAGGGUAAUAGCAGGAUUGAAUCUGAUUCACUCAAUUCUUUAUCUAAAUUGGGUCAAUCAAGAAGGAAGCUCAUCACAAGUAUUUGAAGCUAUGGCUAAAAAUACCUUGUUGGAGUUCUCUGCUCAAAUAGUGGAGAACAUCCACACUAGUCCAGUACUGAGAACAAAAAAUAUUGAGUUUGAGCUCAAGCCAAGCCUCAUCAACAUGGUGCAAGCUAUCCAGUACAGUGGAAAGGAAAAUGAAGAUGCAAGUACACAUAUACAACUUCAUGGAGAUUGGAAACACCAUCGCCACAGAAAGAGUUAAUAAAUAUAUCAUACUACUUCACCUCUUUCCAUUCUCACUAGUGGGAAGAGCGAAGCAAGGGUUCUAUGCCAACAAUGAAGACAUCAACACAUGGGGCAAAGUGUACCAAGGCCUUUCUAGCAAAAUUCUUCCCAAUAGGUAAGACAAAUGCCUUAAGAGGAAAGAUUACCAACUUCCAACAACAAAAGACAAAAAGCAUUUUAGAAGCAUGGGAGCGUUUGCAAGGAUACAUUCAAGAUUGUCCUCAUCAUGGAAUAGAAGAAUGGUUACUCAUGUAAGACUUUUAUCAUGGAUUAAAUCAAAAGACAAGUGAGCACCUGGAUGCCACUGCUGAAGGAUCAUUCUUAUCACUCACUCUUGGGAAAGCUAAGGAGCUUAUGGAGAAGAUAUCAGAUAAUCAAAGCUGGUCCCAAGACAAAGGUGUAGAAGCAAUUGAAGAAGUAAAUGCACUGUCCACCAAGAUGGAUGACUUGCUCCACUGGUUAGACUAGAGGGCCAAGUAUAAGGAAUACCAGAGGGCGACUGAAGCAAUAUCUAAAUCAAAUUCAAGUCCUACCGUUAGGAAAGUUCCACAUCAACCAAAUUGGAGAUAGCAUCAAAAUAGCCAAGGUAUGAAUUCAGGUAAUUUUACAAAUCAACCAUCUUUAAGAGAGAUAAUUAUGUAGCAAUCCAAAAUCAAUCUAGACAUUAAAGCUAGGCUUGCUAAUUAUGAUAAAACCUUGUGUUGGGUAUUUUAAACGCAAACAGAAAAAAUCCGCAAGCGCACGGAUACCGAUGUAGCCUUCACCCGGGAGUAUUCCAGAGUAUCGAUUUUCCACAGAGAACGUGACUGUACUAAUUAAGAAUCAAGAUCGCCCAAGGAUAACUAUAUAAUUAUUUUUGGUGGGAAGAGAGGAAGUUUCCAGAGAGUUCUCUAGUUGAUCUAAGAAUCAAGAAUUACUUCAAGAUUAUCUAUUUUGGGACAUCAGAACACUAACCACAGAAAGAGAUGAGAAGGGGGCUAGGAAGCUCUGACUACGGUCCUACAAACACCGAUCCGAACGAGGUGGAAUACGUCGACCGUUAGGGCUGUCACUACCCUAGGGCUACCACAACAAUCCGCAGGAUUGGGUGCAAUUCUAGGUAAUUGCAAGACUAAACACCACGACUAAUCUAUUAAUUACUACUCUAAUGUUUCAAAGAUUAGAGCACUUGAUGCAAGCGGGAAUCUAAUAAAUAACUUGAAUGUAAAUAAAAGUAAUUAAAGAACUCAGGAAUUAUGAAUUGAAGAACCUGGAGAACGAUGAAGAACGAACCAGUUGCUGCAAAAGUACAAUGUUGAGGAAGAUCCGACAGAUCCGGCUCCUCCUCCGCUCUCCUCUUCUCUCUCCCUAUUUUCUAGAUUACAACUAGAACUAACUAGAACUAGAACUAGAGGAACUAGAACUAGAACUAGAUGAACUAGAACUAGAACUAGAUAAACUAGAGGUAGAACUAGAAGAACUAGAGGGAUACUCUCUACUUGGAUGAAGAAUUGAAAUGCUAGCUUUGAUUCUGUAGAAGAGGUAUGAUCUCCAGGGGCCAGGGGACCUUGCUUAUAUAGUCUUUUCAAAUGAGUCUAGUCUGUCGGAUCAAACCGACAUUGAUCGUGUGGUUUUCCUUGAAGUAUUAGGUCGGUGGAGCAUGAUCUCCGAGCUUCACCCUGAUUGGUCCAGGGGGGAGGGCGGGCGCCCAGUAAGGGAGGGCGGGCGCCCAGUGCCCGGCCCCGUCACGUCUCCCGUUCGCUCCCGUGGCUUCUAGACUCUUCUAGAUGGUAGAUAAUUGCGCGUCAAGUUAAUAUCCCUAUGUAAACCCAACGUGUGGGCCAUUCUUCCGUAUUUCCUGAUAACCCCCUACAGAAAUAGAUAAACACCAAAACUCGUGGAAUUCUGUCAGAUAAAACCCUAAGUCUACUUGUUAGUUGCAUUUGGAUCCUUUUCCAUGAUUAAUUGAUGGUUAAAUGUGAGCAUUAAGGACCGUCAACAAGCUCCCCCAAGCUUAACCUUUGCUCGUCCCUGAGCAAAGAUAAACUCAAAAGCUUCUGCAGUGGUUUCAUGUCUUAAAGAUAUACAUGCAUUCCAACAAGAUCUCAUCUCUGGGUUAGGGUAAACUGUUAAUAUUUAAACUUACUCAUAUUACCUUCCACCAUGGGGCUUGUAACCGUCACCUGUGUCUUGAGCAGUUAAAAGAUAGAACGGUCUAGUCAAGCGCCAUGUCUCUUGUCUUCGAUUAACUAUAGCUCUGGAGUUUUUGUAGAUUUUCAAAUAAAACUCAGAGAUUCCUGUAUGACUCUCUCUAGUCUCUCUUUUGUGGUAUUUCUGGAUCCUUACCAAGGCAGUGAUGAUAUAUGCCUUCUCUCAAAGUAUGUGGUAUUUGUGGUAUGAGGCAUAGUGAUAUUGCCUUCUCUCUCACCCUAUUCUAAUAAGGUUUGAUAUCUCGAGCUCAUAGGUGGGAGACAGCUAAUACGUACUUACAAGACAUUUAUUGCAUAGUCAAACCAUGGAUCCAGAGAAACAAGUCAAUAAGUCAAAUCAAGAUGUGCAUGUGUGGCGGAUGAUUGGUGUAUGGUGAUGAUGGUGAUAAUGGUGAAAAUCUAAUUCUACUUUUGCUCAUUUUAGGGGAUACAUACCUUUCUUGCACUUUGAUACUUGUUGAAGGGAAUGAGAUGCUCUAUAUUUUCUUCUUAUUUUUUUUUCUUUUUUCUUUUUUUUCUUUUUUUCUCAGGUGGGUAUCUUGUACCCCUAAUUCUACUGUCGGACACUUGCCCCUUUUUAUUUCCUCGUAUUCACUCCCUUUUUUUAGAGCACUCACCCUCCUAGAAUAAUGUAGCAAGUGGUAGUAACCAAAAUAUCUCGAGCAUUUAUUUCACGGGGAAUAACAGGGAUAGGAUAAUGUUUUUGGCUAUUCUCUCCUGGAUAGGAGUAGAAUAAUUUUAGGUGAAUCUGGAGAUGGAAAGGAGUGGAUGUAUGUGGAUGCGUAAUUCCGGAGUAGAAGCAGCAUGUAUUAGUGAACGUGCAAGUGAAUCUUGAUUUUAACCACAUGACAAGCUCCUAAGGGUCUACACAGCUUGACCACACUCAAUGCUCAUAAGCAGUAAAAAGUAAAUGUAUGGUUCAUAGUCCAAUAAGCAUGUAUAUAUGGCUGUGGUAGGAUUUUAAACUCUCAUCAUACAGGAACUCAUCAUGUGAUAUUUUAAAGAUUUUCAAAGAUAAAAUUCUCCAGAAUUCUAUCAUCUCUAAGAACAGAUAAACAGCAGCUCAACCUUCCCAUAUCAUAUCCGUUAACGAGUUAGACUUCAGAUCAAGUACUCUUCCCACAAGUUCAGGUUUAGAGCAAAUCUUAAUUAAUAACAGUCAUGCCUAAACUUGAAAGAGAUUUCAAUUUUGACAACUAGUCAUGGCAGAGCAACUAUUCAUCAUUUCCAUGUGAGAGCUUAUCAUGAGGGUUCAAACUUUAUUUAUUUAUUUAUUUAGCAAACUAAGCAAAGAUAUAUAUAUAAGCACAAAAUCUUUAUUUGGGUUUUUAUGAUUAUGCAUCUUUUUAUUAUUUGAGUAAAAUAUAAACGUGAGUGGAACACUUAGCUGGAUGAAUGGGGGUGCUCUCCCCCAAGCUAGAUUUUGACGGAAUUUCUUCUGAUGUAGCUAGCAGGUGGUAGAGGUGUAUUUGAAUGUCGGCAGCACCCUGACAGCGAGUAGGAUGUCCUCCGUCUGCUAGUUGUCACAGAACCGACCAAAUUAUAAGAGUUCAAUUGCAGAAACGAUCGCCAAGCAAUCAAGUUUCCAAACUUGAGCCCAUAUAAUCCCGGUAGUCAAUUGAAAUCACGAAGGACUUCAAACCAACUCGCAACAAACCAAGAUCGUAAUAGUUCAACAUAAACACAACGAAUGUUACAUAGCCAUACAUUGCCGUCGAAGCGGCACCGCAUCGGAGUAUUAAGUUAUUACAACACUUGUUCGAAGUAGCAGAAGCAAAAUAAUUACACACACAUUCCAAAGUUCAGUUCAUAAGUUUGGGUUACUGCCAGAGUCUACACCAUCCUUCCAAAAGCAACAGGUACGAAGUUGUUAGAGAACCGUGCUCAACGGUUAAUCCUCAUCCCCAGCGGGAUGGAGACAGGUCUUGCAGAAACCGUCAUAGAAGAUGUCAUCUGCAACAGGUGGGAAUAAACCCUGAGUACGAGAAUGUACUCAGCUAGACUUACCCGUCUAGUAAAACAUAAAAGACACCAAGGAUCAUGCAAGGCCAAAUAUCAAGUGGAGCUGGUUGACUCUCCUUUUGCCAAAAGCUUAAAUUACGACUAAAUUAAUUCGAGAGCAUCAUAUUUAUUCAUCAUCAGCCUACCACUAGAUUAGCACCUGUACUACAACACAUCACUUGAUUAUUACAAUCAAUAAUAACCAUAUCAAAUUCAUCAUAUGUUCUUCCUGCUAUCCUCAUUAUCAUGAACCAAGUUCAUUAGUGAAUGCUACGUUUGCCGCUGCUCUGUCAAGUUCUCACUAACCGGGAGAGACGGCGAUUCGAAUCGAAUUCCUAUCCAGCUGGAGGGUUAUUCCUAGCACUCACCCAAGCAUCCCCUGCCAGAGAGCCAACGGGUCACCUUUGGUACAACUCAGGAAUCGCGGCUCCGAUCAGCGCCGCACUCCCAGGGCUACCACUCUGCCAGGGAGGUCAGGAAUUUUAACUCACCUGCCUUUGGACUUACGCCAAUGGUCCCCCGCACACCGCACUUCCUCCGGUAGUGCGCACUUUAUACUUGCCGGUCUUCCGGCCUGAGUCAUACUACUCGGCUUCGCGGUCGGAACGAGUUAUCCGGCCAACUAAGUGUUAGGCAUGCGUUCAACAUGACAAGAGGACGUACAACGAUCGGUCCUUAGCUGCCACAGACGGAGUCACUACAAACUUGCAAAACUCCGCCCGGCUUAAGUCAAUUUAAUCAGGUUCCAUCCACGAUAGCACAUAUAGACCAUCGUGAUCUGACAUAACCCUAUAUCGCGCAGGUGACAGGAUAUCACCCGAUUUCUACCGAUUAAAGCAUGGCUAAGCUGCUACUCGAUCCUAACUCUACAACCAGGGUGUGUUGAGUUAUCUGGACAAGGAUAGAGUAGAAUGCAGCAACAGUUUCAUCACAACUCCUAUACGUAAUGCAUCAAUAGAUAGAACAUAUUGAGUGAACUUUCGAAAAUAAAGGGAGACUUAGAAUGCUCCGGGGCUUGCCUUUCACGAACGAUGCCGGCUCGUGAUUCGGACACUCAACUUCUUCUUCGGGCUCCUCGAGUCCGGCUUGCUAGACCUCCACCUCUUGGCUGCCCUCCUGGCCUUCGGGAUUCACUUGCAGCUCGUAGGAGGCUGUCGCGUCCGAUGCACCUAUUGCAUGCUCGAACAAUAAGAAGAUGCACAUGCUAAAGAUGAAUGCUUGAUAACACAAGUAACUCACUGGCCACUCAUUUACGGAGCAAAGUCAUACAAGCUCACAUAAGUAAAUAAGUCAACUCAGCUCAAAACCUAUCAUGAUACUAAAACAGCAAGCAACACAAAACAAGUAUACCCAGUAAAUAAAUCAUAACUAAUGAUAGACAGGUCCAACAAUCAUGAGUGAAGACAUUCUGGAAAGCUUAUGAAAUUGUCUACUACUCAUAUUUAAUCAUCACAGCAAGAUUCAUAAGUUAAACCAGUCAUUUAAACAAAGUUCCAGGUUCUGUCCCAGAAAAACAGAGAGCACCUAUUUCUGGAACCCAACUUGGAACAGCUAUAACUUUUAAACUACUUGGCCAAAUGACCUCAAAUUUAAACUACAGCUAGUUCCACAAGUUUAGAACAACUUUGAUUUAGACAAGUUUCACAGAAAGUCAAGUUAUCAUUAAGCAAAGUUAAUUCCUUUCCUUGCUGUCCAGGACAGCCUUUAACCCUUUAAGUAAUUAUUUAAUGACAUAACCAAAACAUAAACCAUGCCAACCACAUGGCUUAUGAGCACAAACAUAUUACAAGGUUACCAGAACACCAGAUGAAGACCCCCAAACAUUUACUUCACAAGGCAUUUAUUAAUUAAUUCUAGAUAAGAGCAUAAUUACAAGAUACUAGUCAAAGUGCUCAGAAAAAUCUACAAAAAUUACAGGAACACAAGUAUAUCAUCAAAACUUCACCACAAAAAUUUCAGAGUAAUUGCACAUAUCAAAUUAAAGAUAUGUAUUUAACAUGUGCCAAGGUAUUUAUUUCAUAAAUUCAGAAACAUGACUUAUAUGGUGUCAAACAACAGAUUUCAGAUUAUUUACAUCUUAGGAAUACCAUAAACAGGUUUACUACCAAAGUAGAGCACCAGCAUAAGCACCAAUUAUUUUAUAUAAUUUAAUCAAGGAAACAAGCCAAAUUUCAACCAUAAAUUACAUAAGAAAGCUGCAGUGCUCCAAAAAUCAUGAAAUAUUUAUCAAAGCACCCUAAUACCAUACAGAGGCUACCAUAAAAUUUUCAGAGCAAACUAAGCAGUAAAACAAGAGAUAUGCAUUUAUCCAUGAAUAACAAGAUUAAAUCCUUAAUAAAUAAUUUCCCAGAAAACAUGGUUCAUUUUAUAUAUUUAUUAAAAACUAGCCAUCUCAAGGAAUACCACAAAAUUUGUUUCACAAUUUUUGAAUCUAAGAAGCAGGAGAUAUGAUUUUUACAAAAACAGCUCAAACCCUAAUUUAAACAAAGGAGAAGGAGAGACUGACAGAGGGGAUCCGCGAGUCAACGGACCCCACCUGCCAGCGAACCGGAAGCAGAGGCGUGGCUUGACCGCCGGAGAUCUCGUCGACGGCGAGGUCUCGGCGCUGGCCAAGGGCACCAUCGUGCUCUCCACAGCAUUCCGCAUCGAGCGGUACCCAAAACCCUAACUCUUCCGGACUCUAGGCACCUCGCCCUCGCGAAUGGCGGCACGGCGGUGGUGCGCGGCCGACCGCCGGCGUCUCUGAUCGGAGACAGAGCGGAAGAGGAUGUGGACGAGCAUCAGCAUGACCUAGCGGAGCUUUUGGAACAAGAAUGAGAAAGAAUGGUGGGCUACAGAGCCCUGGCCACGACGCCGGUGGCCAUGGUGGAACUCCGGCGAGGCAAGCUCGCGGCGGAGAAGGCAAUGCGGGCUCACCGAGGCUCGGCAGUCGCAGCCAACUUGACGACGGUGGAGAGGAGAGGCUUGCGGAGCACUGGACGGAGUUGCUUGACCGGAGACAAGGAGACACGCGCGCGCGAGCUCGCCGAAGCAACGGCGGCGACGCGGAGACGACGACGCACGCGAGAGAGAGCGAACCGGGAGUGGACUGGCGCUGUCCACGCGACCGGGGGCGCCGUGGCGAGCUGAAGGACGCGUCGAGGACUGACGUGCAGGACCAACGGCGACGUACGGACGCCACGGGUCCAGACACGCGGCAACACCGGCGAGCUCCCCCUGUCUGACGGCGGCUCCAUUCAGUUCCCAAACCGACUGAAACUCAAUUUUUCCCGACGAUUAACUCCUAAACCACUCGAUGAUUUUGCUGGCCAAUUGCUCCAUGCUGGAGAGCUACAUGAGUACUCCAACAUUGCUAACUAGAUCAAAGCUUGAUUCGGCCUAGAAUUCAAACUGGAAGAUGAACAAUAUCCCCUCGAGCAAACUGCAGAGAUUCCAGACUUAGAAAAUUUUCUAAGUGUUGGAAACAGCCCCAAAUCUGCCUUGUGGGCCCCUUUUGAGCUAUUUGUGAUCAUUUUCAUGAGAUGGCCAUAAAACAACUUUUGUUCCUUAUAAAAUUUGCUACAACUUUGCUGUAGAAAGUUUUGACAUGCAAACAUUUUAUGAAACACUUUUUAAAAGCCUAAGCAAAAGAGGUUUCUAGGGCCUACUUUCAUAAGUAUAACUUAAAAGCAUAUUUUGGAGAAGUGACCAACAUGAACAUUGUUCCCAAGGUCAAGUUAAGCAUAGCUAAACUAACUACCAAGGCAUUAAGCACAAACACAAGCAUGGUUCACUCAAACAUAAGCAUAGGAAGACUAUUUAAACAAUUUAAACCACAUUUUUGCAUAAGAUGACAUGGCUCAAGAUAGAUGAUGAUCAUGAUAAGCUUUGAGUAGAUGAUGAUGCUUAUGCUAUGCACAUGAUUAAUGCAACCAUAACACUGGGGUGUUACAGCCCUCCCCCCUUACAAAAAUCUCGUCCCGAGAUUUGAAAGCUUACUGAUUUUCGAAGAAGGUUUUGUAAACUUCUUUCAAAUAAUCCUCCGUCUCCCAAGUAGCAUCUUCCUCCCCAUGGUUGCUCCACAAUACCUUAUAGAGUUUAACCACACGAUUACGCGUCUCCCGUUCCUUGCGAUCAAGAAUCGCCACAGGUUUCUCCUCAUACACCAAGUCUGACUUCAACUUGAUAUCUCGAACUUCCACUCGUUCUUCCGGUACACGAAGGCACUUCUUCAAUUGUGAUACGUGGAAGACAGGGAAAAUAGCUCGAAGCGCAACUGGGAGUUGAACUUUGUACGCCACAUUCCCUUUCUUUUCGAGAAUCCGAUAAGGUCCCACAUAGCGAGGUGCAAGUUUUCGCUUGACUCCGAACCUUUGUACACCCUUCAUCGGAGACACCUUGAUGUACACAUGGUCACCAACUGAAAACUCAAUCGGCUUCCUUCUCUUGUCGGCAUAACUUUUCUGACGAGCUGGAGCAGCUUCCAGAUGUUGCUGGAUAGUACGGACUCUCUGCUCUGCUUUGUUCACGAAAUCGAUGCCAUAAAACCUUCGUUCCCCGGCUUCCACCCAAUUCAACGGGGUUCGACACUUUCGACCGUACAAGGCUUCAAAUGGAGCCAUCUUGAUACUCUCCUGAUAACUGUUUUUGUAGGAGAACUCAGCUAAUGGCAACCACUUAACCCAAGAUCCUUUUGAUCAGAGAGCACAUGCCCUCAACAUGUCUUCGAGGAUUUGGUUCACUCGUUCAGUCUGACCGGCCGUUUGGGGAUGAUAAGCAGAGCUACGGACUAAAUGAGUACCAAUUUGCUCAUGCAGACAUUCCCAAAAUCGAGUAGUGAACUGUGGUCCACGAUCGGAUAUGAUUGUUCGAGGCACACCAUACUGACGAACAAUGUGCUCGAAAUACAACUCCGCAUACUGAUGUGGACGAUAGUCGGUUCGGAAUGGAAUAAAUCGAGCAACCUUGGUCAAACGAUCGACAAUCACCCAGAUGGAGUCGUACCCCUUAACAGAAAUUGGGAGUCCACUGAUGAAAUCCAUGCUGACUUCUUCCCAUUUCCAACCAGGAAUAGACAAGGGUUGAAGCAAACCAGCUUUCAUGUGAACAGCCUUCACACGACAACAAUUGUCACAACGAGCGACAAAAGCAACUAUCUCCUUUUUCAUCUUUGUCCACCAAAACAACGGUUUUAAAUCCUGAUACAUCUUGCUACUACCAGGAUGGAUAGACAAUUUGGAUGAAUGAGCUUCAGAUAAGAUCUGAUUUUGCAGCUCGCGGUCUUUUGGGACCACAAGUCGAUCCUUGAACCAAAGAAUUCCGUUCUCAUCGACCCGGAAAUGCUUGGUUUCUUCUUCCUUCAUUUUCCUCUUUAUAUGGUGGAUGCCUACAUCUGUCUGCUGCAAUUCGAUGACUCGAUUGCGAAUGGUACUUUCCAGAGAAAGCUGGUUGAGCACAAGUGGAUGCAUAAGAUGUGACAACAACGGAUCUUCCACUUGGAUUGAGUGACAGUGCGCUUUCCGACUCAAGGCGUCCGCCACCACGUUUGCCUUGCCCGGAUGGUAGUGCACUUGAAGAUUAUAAUCUUUAAUCAACUCAAGCCACCUUCGCUGUCGCAUGUUCAGUUCAGGUUGAGUGAAGAUAUACUUGAGGCUCUUAUGAUCAGUGUAGAUAUUACACAGAUUACCCAGCAAAUAAUGCCUCUAGAUUUUCAAAGCAUGAACAACUGCUGCCAAUUCUAAGUCAUGGGUAGGGUAAUUGAUCUCAUGCUUUCGAAGUUGGCGUGAGGCAUACGCAAUUACGCGACCUUCCUGCAUCAACACACAGCCUAAACCAAUGCCCGACGCGUCACAAAAGACAUCAAAGGGCUUUUCGAUAUCAGGUUGAGCUAGGACAGGAGCUGAUGUCAGCAAUGUCCUCAACUUGUGGAAUGCCUCUUCACACUCAGGUGUCCACACAAACUUCUCAUCUUUCUGAAGCAGACGAGUCGUAGGCUUGGAUAUUUUGGAGAAUUCCGGAAUGAAUCGACGGUAAUAUCCGGCCAGACCAAGAAAACUCCGAACCUCGUGUACCCAAGUUGGAACUUUCCAAUCCAGCACUUCUUGCACCUUGGCUGGAUCCACCGAUAUGCCUUCUUCAGAUAAGACAUGGCCCAAGAAAGGAACUUUCUUUAGCCAAAACUCGCAUUUGCUAAACUUGGCAUAAAGCUGAUGUUCGCGCAAAGGCGACAACACUACACGCAGAUGCUCUGCAUGCUCCUCUUCAUUGCAGGAAUAUACCAAGAUAUCAUCAAUGAAGACCACCACAAACUUGUCCAAUUCAGGCAUGAACACCGAAUUCAUGAGAUACAUGAAGUGAGCAGGUGCAUUUGUAAGACCGAAGGACAUGACAAGGUACUCAUACAACCCAUACCUUGUCGAGAAAGCUGUCUUAGGUACAUCUUCAGGACGGAUCUUGAUCUGAUGGUACCCAGAUCGCAAAUCAAUCUUGGAGAAUACCUUAGCUUUAGACAACUGAUCAAACAAGAUAUCAAUGCGAGGAAGAGGGUAUUUGUUCUUGAUAGUCACCGCAUUUAGGGGACGAUAGUCCACACACAUGCGCAAAGAUUGAUCCUUCUUCUUCACAAAGAUAGCCGAACAACCCCAAGGAGAAGAACUAGGACGAAUAAGGCCCUUCUUCAACAACUCAUUGAGUUGGGUCUUAAGCUCAACUAAUUCAUUGGGUGGCAUUCUAUAAGGUCUUCUAGAGAUAGGAGCGGUACCUAGAAUCAAUUCAAUCUUAAACUCCACAUCCCGAUCCGGAGGAAGCCCGGGAAGAUCAUCAGGAAAAACAUCCGGAAACUCACACACCACCGGAAUAUCCUGAAUAGCCUUAGAUGUAACUGCAUUCACAGUGCUACGGAUUUGAAUAUCACGAGGGAGUUGCACUAGAAAUGCCUCCUUGGUAUUUGGGUCUUUCAACAUCACUACACGAGUGGUGGUGUCGAUAAGAACUCCAUUGCCACUCAUCCACUUCAUCCCCAGAAUUACAUCUAUUCCCACACCAGGUAGAACAACCAAAUCAGCAAGAAACUGACGGCCUCCUAUUUCCAGAGUUGCCCCCAAAACCACUUGAUUGGUAGAAAUAUCAUUCCCCGCAGCACAAAUACAGUAACUGCCCUUAUCAAGUGUAAUGGCCUUGAUGCUAUGCUUAGACACAAAUUCAGAACUCACAAAGGAAUGCGAUGCUCUAGAAUCAAAAAGCACAAGUGCAUCAUGUUGAUUGACCAGAAACUUACCAGCCGUGACUACCUCACCAGCAGGGAUUGCUUCCACAGUUGUGUAAUGAACACGCCCCUGACGGACGUUCCCCUGGUUGCCCUUCUUUGGCGGGUAAGGACAGUUGCUCUGCCAAUGCCCGGUCUGAUUGCAGUUCCAGCACGGACGGUUGGCAGGUGGAGUCUUGGCAUAGUUGGGACCCGUGUUGCCCCUAGGAAGAGCAAUAGAGUACCCCUUGCGAAAACCCGUCUUUGCCUGAUUCUUCUUCACCGGAGGGCGGUAUCGCUGGUUGGGGGUUGUAGCACGGAAUGGGGGCUUAGUUGCCACUGGAGCCUUGGACUGAGAUGACCCGGCACUGGCCUCAAAGGCCCUCUUGCGAGUCUUGGUCGCAGUGUACACAGUGUUAUAGUUCUCUUGAGUGAGAGCAUCACUGACAAACUCAUUGAAAGUUGCACACUUAGUGCGGCCCAUAGUCUUCAGCAAUUUGAGGCCCAAACCCCGCUUGAAACUAGCAAUCUUUUUCGUCUCCAUGUUCACAAACUCAGGAGCAUACCUAGACAAAUGAUUGAAAGCAUGCAAAUACUCCUUCAGAGUCUUGUUGCCCUGAGUCAACUGCAUAAACUCGGUAUGCUUCAUCUCCAUAACACCAGGAGGAAUGAAAUGCCCCUUGAAAGCUUCACGGAAAAGAUUCCAGUCAAUCACUGUGUUGGCUGGAAGAGCUUCCCGAUACUGAUUCCACCAGAUGCCUGCCGGACCUUGCAGUUGGUGAGCGGCAUACUCUGCCUUCAGACCUUCAGUCAACCGAAGUAAGCGGAACUUUUGUUCCACCGUGUUCAGCCACUCUUCAGCUUGAAGGGGUUCUUCAGCUUCUCUGAAAGGUGGGGGCUUUGUGUCCAUGAAAUCCUUGAAGCUACUGUACUGGUUAGGAGCUGGCCCUUCCUGUGCAUUACGACCACCCUGAUUUGCCAUCCGAUUGAUGGUCUCAGUGAGCAUCCUCUGAUUUUCCACCAUCAUUUGCAUCAGUUCAUCUGGAUUUGGUGGUGGAGGAGGAGGGGGUGGAUUCAUGUUUGCACGCUGUUCCGCACCCCGGGUACCACGAGACAUCUGUAAAGACACAGUCAGUGAGCAUUGAUGAUGACAAGAUUUGCCGCAGAAGAACUUAUAUUCAUACCUGAAAGUAUUCGAGAGAAUAGCUUUACAGAAAGGAAAAAUAAUUCAAUUCCACAAAACAACAUCACCAAUCUAACACACGACAUAGAUAUCCACAAUACGCACCACAACGGAAAACAUCGGCAUAACAUAACAAUCAUAUUAAGACUGCACAUUGGGUCCAUAAAGUUAUUACACCAUCACAGUACAUGCCAUGAGUCAAGGUCAAAGUUUCGGAUUACAACAUGGUUACAAAAGCACCACGGCUGACUGGCACACUACAAAAGAUCCUCACAUAACACUACCCACUACUCCUACACUCCAGGCUCGUCGUCCGAGUCAGCGUCGAAGAUCGCCUCUCCAUCCUCGUCGUGAACCGGGAGUGGACUGGCGCUGUCCAUGCGACCGGGGGCGCCGUGGCGAGCUGAAGGACGCGUCGAGGACUGACGUGCGGGACCAACGGCGACGUACGGACGCCACGGGUCCAGACACGUGGCAACACCGGCGAGCUCCCCCUGUCUGACGGCGGCUCCAUUCAGUUCCCAAACCGACUUAAGGUUUUAUCUGACAGAAUUCCAUGAGUUUUGGUGUUUGUCUAUUUCUGCAGGGGGUUAUCAGGAAAUAUGGAAGAAAGGCCCACACGUCGGGUUUACAUAGAGAUAUUAACGUGCCGCGCAAUUUUCUAUCAUCUAGAAGACUCCAGAAGCCACGGGACCGAAGCGGAGGCCGAGAGGGCUCAGGCACAGGGCGCCCGCCCUAGUCUCUUGGGCGCCCGCCCACUUCCAGAGACCAAUUCGGUCACGUUUCGCGGACAACGCUCCACCGACCUAAAGGAUCAAGGAAAACCGUGCGAUCAAUGUCGGUUUGAUCCGACGGCCCAGAUUCACUUGAAGGGACUAUAAAACCAGACCCCCUGGCCCCUGGAGAUCAUACCUCUUCUACAGAAUCAAAGUUAGGGUUUCAAUUCUUCAUCCAAGUAGAGAGGAUCCCUCUAGUUCUUCUAGUUCUACCUCUAGUUCAUCUAGAUCUAGUUCUAGUUCAUCUAGUUCUAGUUCUAGUUCUUCUAGUUCUAGUUCUAGUUAGUUCUAGUUGUAAUCUAGAAAAUAGGGAGAGAGAAGAGGAGAGCGGAGGAGGAGCCAGAUCUGUCGGAUCUUCCUCAACAUUAUACUUUUGCAGCAUCUGGUUCGUUCUUCAUCGUUCUCCAGGUUCUUCAAUUCAUAACUCCUGAGUUCUCUAAUUACUUUUAUUUACAUUCAAGUUAUUUAUUGGAUUCCCGCUUGCAUCAAGUGCUCUAGUCUUUAUAACGCUAGAGUAGUAAUUAAUAGAUUAGACGUGGUGUUUAGUCUUGUGAUUACCUGGAAUUGCACCCAAUCCUACGGAUUGUUGUGGUAGCCCUAGGGUAGUGACAGCCCUAACGGUCGACGUAUUCCACCACGUUCGGAUCGGUGUUUGUAGGACCGUAGUCAGACCUUCCUAGCCCCCUUCUCAUCUCUUUCUGUGGUUAGUGCUCUGAUGUCCCGAUAUAGAUAAUCUUGAAGUAAUUCUUGAUUCUUAGAUCAACUAGAGAACUCUCAGGAAACUUCCUCUCUUCCCACCAAAAAUAAUUAUAUAGUUAUCCUUGGGCGAUCUUGGAUCUUAAUUAGUACACUCACGUUCUCUGUGGAAAAUCGAUACUCUGGAAUACUCCCGGGUGAAAGCAACAUCGGUAUCCGUGCGCUUGCGGAUUUUUCUGUUUGCGUUUAAAAUACCCAACAAGUUUUCUGGCGCCGUUGCCGGGGAACGGUAGCUGUGCUAGUUUCGAACCAAGUCGUCCGUGUAUCCUUUUUCUUUUCCCUUUUUACCACACUCACCUUAUCACUUUCACCAUACCACAUGGAUUUCACUCUAAGCAUUAAUGAGCAUGGAAUUUAUUUCAUAGCCACUUCACUUACUCCAUGCUCAUAUGCAACAUCUUCACAAUCCAUUGGUCUCUCCAACAUCACCACAUUCGGGAUCUCCAACCCCCUCUUCCUUUCUAUUUAUAAAAACUUUAAAAGGGUGGUUGUCGAUGCAUAUGUCUAUAAUAUAUAUUGCAGAUCUCGUUGAGUUGAUCUUGAUAUAGGUCAGCGUUGGAGGGGAAACCACUUCGCAGACAUAAAUUAAUGGUUUCCCAAGGACAAGCUUAGUGUCCUAAAACAAGCACUGAUUAGAUCAUAACAUGAGCUUUUAAUUAUUUGCCACAUUACCUUGUGAGUUGAGCAUAUAAGGAUAAUUGUAAAAAAAAUUCCUUCGGGUAUUCUUGUCACUAACCUUUCCAGGAUUGGAGCAAGAAGAUCGGAUGAAUGACAAGCACAAGGUAUGUACAACCAAUCAUCAUACAACAUUGAAUUAAAUUCAUCCAAACUUGAAUUUUGCAAAAUUCAAGCUUGGGGGAGUACUUUACAUAAAAACAUCCUUUGCCAUGUUGCUAUGUUGGUUGUCCCUACCUUUGAGACAUGCUCAAUUUGUUAAAUACUAAUCACACUACUUCACCUCCACUUGAGUAGAUCUCUAUAAAUGCUCUCAUGCUACCUUUAUUUGCUUUAGUAUAUGUCUAGGUUUGGAGUAGUUUCAUUUAUCUCUUAAUUAAGCAUGGUGCUUAGUUUAGGAAUGAUGAUCUUACUUCCAAGGGAGUUUAAAUUAGGCAUGAUCCUUAGGUUAAAAUUCCCUCCUAAAUCAAAUUAGACAUGGUGUCUAGGUUGAUCUUUGAGCCGAUAGUAUGCUAUAGUAGAUAUUGGAUAUUUUGUUGUACUAACCCCUGCAGGAAAACUUUCACUAUCGACCUGGGAAGUCCUGAGAUACACUCACAUUUUUGACAAAGAGAGAGGCACAUGAAGUUUAACAAUUUACACAAGGAAGGCAUAGCUCACAAGAGAUGAUCCAUGGAGGGUGCUACAAACACGAUGCACAACCGCUAAGAAAGGAAAGCUUCCACAAGGAGAUACCGUACCAUCACUCUUCAAGUAAGGUAACAUCUUAAGGUACUUGACUAUCACUUUUAUAAGUUUCUCCUUGGUUCUAGCAUUCACAUGGAUAAAAGAGACAAACAUGUAUGAUUUACAACUCUAGAUUAACCAACCCAAUCUAUUCAAUAUGUUUAGUCCUUCCACCUUUGUGAUCCCACAUUCCUAAUCAUAUAAGCUAAAAUGUUGCACACUCAAUCUUUGGAAGAUAUAUUUAAAAAAAAACAUAUAUAUAGAUAGAUUAUCUUUCCAUAAGGUUGAGCAAUCUAAUCUGACAAAUGUUAAAUGCUACACUCAUGGUCUUAUUAUCCAUCAACUUUGUCUUUCUCACUAUGCUUAAUGUUAGAGAGAACAAAUACACUUUUGGUUCUGUUGGUGUUUUCCACCAACAGGGCCCAUGCACUUGAUCUCUGCCUUGUCUCUAUGAGCAGGUACACUUGGAGCAAAAUAUGAAGGACUUUUACAACUCCCAGACUCCACCAAGUGAAGAACCUAGAUCUACGAGUACAAACACAAUGGAGAUACUGCACACUCAGGCAAUCACUGCCUUGAGAUGCUUGAGGACGUAACUAUGAGAGUAACCCCGUUGUGGAAGUAAUUACUGACCUUCUGCUGGUUAAGAGAGGCGAUCCAGGACGCACCGUCAUCCCGAUCUCCAUCGGCAUGGUGGACUUCCUAGAAGCACUCUACAACUUUGGCUCCAGCAUCAACAUUAUGCCCAAGGGAAUAUUGAAGAACCUCUACGUCCGAGUUGGUACCUUGGAGGCCAUUCCUAAACACUUUGGGAGCUGUCAUCUACGCUAGUGCUGCCAAGAUCAGUUUCUACAUCAAGGGGAAGAAGGAGACGUUUUCCUUCAAGAAACAAGACUACACAAAUCCCAGAGCAAUCCCGACAUGAACCAAGGAAGAGGACCAACAGGAGGAACAAGAACAAGUAAAUGUGUACCGAGUCAGCUAAGAUGGUCACUGCAGCUCAAGGAGGUCAAGAUCGUCAACUCAAGUCACCUUUCUUGAUCAAGAAGGACGACCCUGGUGUCACAAGCAUCGAGUGCACAAUCAACGGAUAUUCUUUUCAGAAGACACUCUACGAUACCGGAUCUAACGUCAACAUAAUGGCCGCAGUCACUUAUCAGCUCCUGCAUGGAACCAUGUCCCCACAACCAACAUACAUUCAGCUCCAGAUGCUUUUAAGGUUAUUGACAUGGGAGAAGACGAGUACAAUCCACCCAUCACCAUUGGGAGACUGUUCCUCAGCACCGAUAAAGUAAUCAUCUACAAUGGAACCGAAGAAGUCCACGUGCACUUCUCCUCUGACAAGGUACGCCGCUAUUUUACUGACCCUAACCAUAUAGUUGAAGACUCUAAGCAGGUCAGGACAAGAAGAGGACGACGCAACCGCAACCAGAGGAGGCAAAUCAUCAAGGACGGAUGGGCAGACUAUGAAGGAGAAGUUGUAAGGUCUGAAGACAUACAACUUGAACAGAACUAUCCUGAGGAGACCGUAGCACCGAGUCAGGUGUGGUGAGAGAAUAUAGUUAUACAUGAAGAGGAAGCGCUGCCGGAACCACCGACUACGCCAUCCAGCAAAUCCCAGGACGACUGAGAAAACGGAGAGUCCCGUUCGGAGGACUUAAAAACACCGAACGCCUUGCCAAGAGGUAAACUUGGUAGUUAUCCUUUUCCUUUCAAUUAUUUAAAAUAGUUUGCUUAGUUAAUCAGGUUUAUAUCAUCUUGAAAAGAAAAUAAAAAUGUUAAGUAAGCCCCAUGUGAGUAUGCUCAUGGCAUAAAACCCAUAAGUAUAUUCACUGUGGUGGCAUAAAAAUAAAAUAAAUAUAUAUUUCUGUCCUAUAAAAAUGAAAAUAUAAAUAAGAUUGUGAUCCUACUAAAGAGAAUAACAUUUAUUGAGGAGGCUCAACAUGAUAAAGGCUAGAUAUUUAUGCUAACACUUAACUAGUUCCACAAAGCUUUGUUGUCUAUUUGAGCUCCACAGAAUUCAAGGAUCAAAGAAGACUAGGAGACGGAGGACAUCCUAAUCGCUGUCAGGGUGCUGCCGACAUUCAAAUACACCUCCACCACUUGCUAGCUACAUCAGAAGAAAUUACGUCAAAAAUCCAGGUUGGGGGAGAGCACCCCCAUUUAUCCAGCUAAGUGUUUCUACUCACGUUUAUACUUUACUCCAAUAGUAAAGAUGCAUAAUCAUAAAAACCUAAAUAAAGAUUUUGUGCUUAUAUAUAUAUAUCUUUGCUUAGUUUGCUAAAUAAAUAAAUAAAUAAAGUUUGCUAUGAACCCUCAUGAUAAGCUCUCACAUGGAAAUGAUGAAUAGUUGCUCUACCAUGACUAAAUCUAAAUCUCUCUCAAGUUUAGGGAUGACUGUUAUUAAUUAAGAUUUGCUCUAAACCUAAACUUGUGGGGAGAGUACUUGAUCUAUAGUCUAAGUCGUUAACGGAUAUGAUAUGGGAAGGUUGAGCUGCCCUUUAUCUGUUCCUAGAGAUGCUAGAAUUCUCGAGAAUUUUAUCUUUGAAAAUCUUUAAAAUAUUGCAUGAUGAGUUCCUGUAUGAUGAGAGUUUAAAUUCCUACCACAGCCAUAUAUACAUGCUUGCUAGACUUUGAGCCACACAUUUACUUUUUACUGCUUAUGAGUAUUGAGUGUGGUCAAGCUGUGUAGACCCUUAGGAGCUUGUCAUGUGGUUAAAUCAAGAUUCACUUGCACGUUCACUCAUACAUGCUGCUUCUACUCUAGAAGUACGCAUCACAUAUAUCCAUCCAUUUCCAUCUCCAGAACCACCCAAAAAUAUUCUACUCCUAAUCCGGGAGAGAAUAGCCAAAAAUAUUUCUGUUUUUCCCCUGUGAAAUAAAUGCUCAAGUUAUCUUGGUUACUACCACUUGCUAUAUUAUUUCAGGAGAUGAGUGCUCUAAUAUAAAAAAAAGAGAGAAAAAAAUAUAUAAAUACGAGGAAAUAAAAAGGGGCAAGUGCCCGGAACCUCGAAAGAAAAGAAAAAAAAAGUGAGACGAGAGGUAAAAAUGGACAAGUGUCCGACAGUAGAAUUAGGGGUACAAGAUACCCACCUGAGAGAAAAGAAAAAGAAAAUAUAGAGCAUCUCAUUCUCCUCAAAAAGUUUCAAAAGAGCAAGAAAGGUAUGUAUCCCCUCAAAAGAGCAUAAGUAGAAUUAGGCUUUCACCAUUGUUGUCACCAUCAUCACCAUACACCAUUCAUUCGCCACACAUGCACAUCUUGAUUUGACUUAUUGACUUGUUCUUCUGGAUCCAUGGUUUGACUAUGCAAUAAAUGUCUUGUAAGUAUGUAUUAGCUGUCUCCCACCUAUGAGCUCCAGAUAUCAAAACUUUAUUAGAGUAGGGUGAGAGAGAAGGCAAUGCCACUAUGCCUUAUACCACAAAUACCACAUACUUUGAGAGAAGUCAUAUACCAUUACUGCCUUGGCAAGGAUCCAGAAAUACCACAAAAGAGAGACUAGAGAGAGUCUUACAAGGAAUCUCUGAGUUUUAUUUAAAAAUCUGCAAAAACUCCAGAGCUAUAGUUAAUCGAAGAACAAGAGACAUGGUGCUUGACUAGACCGUUCUAUCUUUUAACUGCUCAAGAAACAAGUGACGGUUACAAGUCCCAUGGUGAAAGGUAAAUGUGUAAGUUUUAAGUCUUAACAGUUUACCCUAACCCAGAGAUGAGUUCUUGUUUAAACGCAUGUGUAUCUUUAAGUUAUGAAACCACUGCAGAAACUCUUGAGUCCAUCUUUGCUCAGGGACGAGCAAAGGUUAAGCUUGGGGGAGCUUGUUGACGGUCCUUAAUGCUCACAUUUAACCAUCAACUAAUCAUAGAAAAGGAUCCAAAUGCAACCAACACCUAGACUUAGGGUUUUAUCUGACAGAAUUCCACGAGUUUUAGUGUUUGUCUAUUUCUGCAGGGGGUUAUCAGGAAAUAUGGAAGAAAGGCCCACACGUCGGGUUUACAUAGAGAUAUUAACGUGCCGCGCAAUUUUCUAUCAUCUAGAAGACUCCAGAAGCCACGGGACCGAAGCGGAGGCCGAGAGGGCUCAGGCACAGGGCGCCCGCCCUAGUCUCUUGGGCGCCCGCCCACUUCCAGAGACCAAUUCGGUCACGUUUCGCGGACAACGCUCCACCGACCUAAAGGAUCAAGGAAAACCGUGCGAUCAAUGUCGGUUUGAUCCGACGGCCCAGAUUCACUUGAAGGGACUAUAAAACCAGACCCCCUGGCCCCUGGAGAUCAUACCUCUUCUACAGAAUCAAAGUUAGGGUUUCAAUUCUUCAUCCAAGUAGAGAGGAUCCCUCUAGUUCUUCUAGUUCUACCUCUAGUUCAUCUAGAUCUAGUUCUAGUUCAUCUAGUUCUAGUUCUAGUUCUUCUAGUUCUAGUUCUAGUUAGUUCUAGUUGUAAUCUAGAAAAUAGGGAGAGAGAAGAGGAGAGCGGAGGAGGAGCCAGAUCUGUCGGAUCUUCCUCAACAUUAUACUUUUGCAGCAUCUGGUUCGUUCUUCAUCGUUCUCCAGGUUCUUCAAUUCAUAACUCCUGAGUUCUCUAAUUACUUUUAUUUACAUUCAAGUUAUUUAUUGGAUUCCCGCUUGCAUCAAGUGCUCUAGUCUUUAUAACGCUAGAGUAGUAAUUAAUAGAUUAGACGUGGUGUUUAGUCUUGUGAUUACCUGGAAUUGCACCCAAUCCUACGGAUUGUUGUGGUAGCCCUAGGGUAGUGACAGCCCUAACGGUCGACGUAUUCCACCACGUUCGGAUCGGUGUUUGUAGGACCGUAGUCAGACCUUCCUAGCCCCCUUCUCAUCUCUUUCUGUGGUUAGUGCUCUGAUGUCCCGAUAUAGAUAAUCUUGAAGUAAUUCUUGAUUCUUAGAUCAACUAGAGAACUCUCAGGAAACUUCCUCUCUUCCCACCAAAAAUAAUUAUAUAGUUAUCCUUGGGCGAUCUUGGAUCUUAAUUAGUACACUCACGUUCUCUGUGGAAAAUCGAUACUCUGGAAUACUCCCGGGUGAAAGCUACAUCGGUAUCCGUGCGCUUGCGGAUUUUUCUGUUUGCGUAUAAAAUACCCAACAAUCAUGAUAAGCUUUGAGUAGAUGAUGAUGCUUAUGCUAUGCACAUGAUUAAUGCAACCAUAACAAUGGGGUGUUACACUAGUCUUCUUUGAUCCUUGAAUUCUGUAGAGCUCAAAUAGACAACAAAGCUUUGUGGAACUGGUUAAGUGUUAGCAUAAAUAUCUAGCCUUUAUCAUGUUGAGCCUCCUCAAUAAAUAUUACUCUAUUUAGUAGGAUCAUUAAUCUAUUUUUAUAUUUUUAUUUUUAUAGGACAGGAAUAUAUUUAUUUCAUUUUUUACGCCACCACAGUGAAUGUACUUAUGGGUUUUAUGCCAUGAGCAUACUCACAUGGGCUUACUAUUUUUAACAUUUUUAUUUUCUUUUUGAGAUGAUAUGAACCUAAUUAACUAAGCAAACUAUUUUAAAUAAUUGAAAGAAAAGGAUAACUACCAAGUUUACCUCUUGGCAAGGCGUUCGGUGUUUUUAAGUCCUCCGAACGGGACUCUCCUGUAUUCUGAGUCAUCCUAGGAUUCGCUCGAUGGCGUAGUCGGUGGUUCCGGCGGCGCCUGCUCUUCAUGUAUAACUAUCUUCUCUCUCCACACCUGACUCAGUGCUACGAUCUCCUCAGGACAGUUCUGUUCAAGUUGUAUGUCUUCAGACCUUACAACUUCUCCUUCAUAGUCUGCCCAUCCGUCCUUGAUAAUUUGCCUCCUCUGGUUGCGGUUGCGUCGUCUUCUUCUUGUCCUGACCUGCUUAGAGUCUUCAACUAUAUGGUUAGGGUCAGCAAAAUAGCAGCGUACCUUCUCAGAGGGGAAAUGCAUGUGGACUCCGCAGGUUCCAAAGUAGAUGAUUGCUUUAACGGUGCUAAGGAACGGUCUUCCAAGGAUGAUGGGUGGAUUGUACUCGUCUUCUCCCAUGUCAAUAACCUUAAAAUCAUCUGGAGCAGAUAAGUGACUGCGGCCAUUAUGUUGACGUCAGAUCCGGUGUCGUAGAGUGUCUUCUGCAAGUUGUAUCCAUUAAUGGAGCACUGGAUGCUUGGUAUAUCUGGGUCAUCCUUUUUGGUCAAGAACAGUGACUUAGAUCGACGAUCUUGACCUCCUUGAACUGUAGUGACCAUCUUAGCUGACUUGGUCCACAUUUGCUUGUUCCUGUUCCUCUUGUUGGUCCUCUUCCUUGGUUCAUGUCGGGAUUGCUCUAGAAUUUGUGUAAUCUUGUUCUUGAAGGAAAACGUCUCAUUUCUCCCUUUGAUGUAGAAACUGAUCUUGGCAGCGCUAGCGUGGAUGACAGCUCCCGAGGUGUUCAGGGAUGGCCUCCCUAGGAUGAUGGGUGCCCUCUCAUUAGUACCAGUCUCUAUCACCACGAAGUCUGCUGGGGCGUACAAGGUACCAACUCGGACGCAGAGGUUCCUGGGCAUAAUGUUGAUGCUGGAGCCAAAGUCGCAGAGUGCUUCUAGGAAGUCCACCAUGCCGAUGGAGAUCGGGAUGACGGGGCGUCCUGGAUCACCUCUCUUGACUGGCAGAAGGUCAGUAAUUACUUCCAAAACGGGGUUACUCCAGUAGUUAUGUCCUCAAGCAUCUCAGGGCAGUGAUUGCCUGAGUGUCCAGUAUCUCCAGUAUGUUUGUGCUCGUAGAUCUAGGUUCUUCACUUGGUGAGUCUGGGAGUUGUAAAAGUCCUUCAUAUUUUGCUCGAAGUGUACCUGCUCAUAAAGACAAGGCAGAGAUCAAGUGCAUGGGCCCUGUUGGUGGAAAGCACCAACAGAACCAAAAGUGUAUUUGUUCUCUCUAACCUUAAGCAUAGCAAGACAAAGUUGAUGGAUAAUAAGAUCAUGAGUGUAGCAUUUAAAACAUUUGUUAGAUCAGAUUGCUCAACCUAAUGGAAAGAUAAUCUAUCUAUACUUAUGUGUUUUCUCUUUUUUAUAUAUAUGUCUUCCAAAGACUGAGUGUGCAACACUUUAGCUCAUAUGAUUAGGAGUGUGGGAUCACAAAGGUGGAAGGACUAAACAUGUUGAAUCAGUUGGGUUGGUUAAUCUAGAUUUGUAAAUCAUACAUGUUUGUCUCUUUUAUUCAUGUGAACGCCAGAACCAAGGAGAAGCUUAUAGAAGUGAUAGUCAAGUACCUUAAGAUGUUACCUUACUUGAAGAGUGAUGGUACAGUAUCACCUUGUGGAAGUUUUCCUUUCUUAGCGGUUAUGCAUCGUGUUUGUGGCACCCUCCAUGGAUCAUCUCUUGUGAGCUUUGCCUUCCAUGUGUAAAUUGUUAAACUUCAUGUGUCUCUCCCUUUCUCUCCAAUGUGAGUUUAUCUCAGGACUUCCCAGGUCGAUAUUGAAAGUACUCCUGCAGUGGUUAGUCCAACAGAAUAUCCAAUAUCUACUAUAGCAAACUAUCGGCUCAAAAAUCAACCUAGACACCAUAUCCAAUUUGAUUUAGUAGGGCAUUUUAACCUAAGCAUCAUGCUUAAUUUAAAAUCCUUUGGAAGUAAGAUCAGCAUUCCUAAACUAAGCACCAUGCUUAAUUAAGAGAUAAAUGAAACUACUCCAAACCUGGACAUAUACUAAAGCAAAUAAAGGUAGCAUGAGAGCCUUUAUAAAGAUCUACUCAAGUGGAGAUGAAGUAGUGUGAUUAGUAUUUAACAAAAUGAGCAUGUCUCAAAGGUAGGGACAACCAACAUAGAAACAUGGCAAAGGAUGUUUUUAUGUAAAGUACUCCCCCAAGCUUGAAUUUUGAAAAAUUCAAGUUUGGAUGAAUUGAAUUCAAUGUUGUAUGAUGAUUGGUUGGACAUACCUUGUGCUUGUCAUUCAUCCGAUCUUCUUGCUCCAAUCCUGGAAAGGUUAGUGACAAGAAUACCCGAAGGAAUAUUUUCACAAUUAUCCUCAUAUGCUCAAUACACAAGGUAAUGUUGCAAAUAAUUAAAAGCUCAUGUUACAAUCUGAUCAGUGCUUGUUUUAGGACACUAAGCUUGUCCUUGGGAAACCAUCAAUUUAUGACGGCGAAGUGGUUUCCCCUCCAACGCUGACCUAUAUCAAGAUCAACUCAACGAGAUCUGCAAUAUUUAAUAUAGACAUAUGCAUCGACAACCACCCUUUUAAAGUUUUUAUAAAUAGAAAGGAUGAGGGGGUUGGAGAUCUCGAAUGUGGUAAUGUUGGAAAAACCAAUGGAUUGGGAAAAUGUUGCAUAUGAGCAUGGAGUAAAUGAAGUGGCUAUGAAAUAAAUUCCAUGCUCAUUAAUGCUUAGAGUGAAAUCCAUGUGGUAUGGUGAAAAUGAUAAGGUGGGUGUGGUAAAAAAGGAAAAGAAAAAGGAUACACGGACGACUUGGUUCGAAACUAGCACAGCUACCGUUCCCCGGCAACGGCGCCAGAAAACUUGUUGGGUAUUUUAAACGCAAACAGAAAAAAUCCGCAAGCGUACGGAUACCGAUGUAGCCUUCACCCGGGAGUAUUCCAGAGUAUCGAUUUUCCACAGAGAACGUGAGUGUACUAAUUAAGAAUCAAGAUCGCCCAAGGAUAACUAUAUAAUUAUUUUUGGUGGGAAGAGAGGAAGUUUCCUGAGAGUUCUCUAGUUGAUCUAAGAAUCAAGAAUUACUUCAAGAUUAUCUAUUUUGGGACAUCUGAACACUAACCACUGAAAGAGAUGAGAAGGGGGCUAGGAAGCUCUGACUACGGUCCUACAAACACCGAUCCGAACGAGGUGGAAUACGUCGACCGUUAGGGCUGUCACUACCCUAGGGCUACCACAAUAAUCCGCAGGAUUGGGUGCAAUUCCAGGUAAUUGCAAGACUAAACACCACGUCUAAUCUAUUAAUUACUACUCUAAUGUUUCAAAGAUUAGAGCACUUGAUGCAAGCGGGAAUCCAAUAAAUAACUUGAAUGUAAAUAAAAGUAAUUAAAGAACUUAGGAAUUAUGAAUUGAAGAACGUGGAGAACGAUGAAGAACGAACCAGUUGGUGCAAAAGUACAAUGUUGAGGAAGAUCCGACAGAUCCGGCUCCUCCUCUGCUCUCCUAUUCUCUCUCCCUAUUUUCUAGAUUACAACUAGAACUAACUAGAACUAGAACUAGAGGAACUAGAACUAGAACUAGAUGAACUAGAACUAGAACUAGAUAAACUAGAGGUAGAACUAGAAGAACUAGAGGGAUCCUCUCUACUUGGAUGAAGAAUUGAAACCCUAGCUUUGAUUCUGUAGGAGAGGUAUGAUCUCCAGGGGCCAGGGGACCUUGCUUAUAUAGUCUUUUCAGAUGAAUCUGGUCCGUCGGAUCAAACCGACAUUGAUCGUGUGGUUUUCCUUGAAGUAUUAGGUCGGUGGAGCAUGAUCCCCGAGCUUCACCCUGAUUGGUCCAGGGGGGAGGGCGGGCGCCUAGUAAGGGAGGGCGGGCGCCCAGUGCCUGGCCCCGUCACGUCUCACGUUCGCUCCCGUGGCUUCUGGACUCUUCUAGAUGGUAGAUAAUUGCGCGUCAAGUUAAUAUCCCUAUGUAAACCCGACAUGUGGGCCUUUCUUCCGUAUUUCCUGAUAACCCCCUGCAGAAAUAGACAAACACCAAAACUCGUGGAAUUCUGUCAGAUAAAACCCUAAGUCUAGGUGUUAGUUGCAUUUGGAUCCUUUUCCAUGAUUAAUUGAUGGUUAAAUGUGAGCAUUAAGGACCGUCAACACCUUGGAAGAUAUAAAUGUUAAAAUGGAUAGUUUCUCAUCUGCCAUUAAUGACCAACUUGAGUAUAAUAAAAAGAUAGAAAUAAAGAUAGCAUAGUUGGCUGCUGCAUUGCCUGUUGCCACUAACCCUGAGCAGGUAAAGAAUAUCACUACAAGGAGAGGGAGUUCUACCAAAGAUCCUCCCUACCCAAAAGGUACCAAAAGGCAAGUGGUAAUACCAUCAACAUUACCCACAAUUUUGGAGAAUGAUAACGACAUUCCUAGCUUUGAUGAAUGGCAGGCACGCCAGUGCCACGCACUGAACCCUGGGAUGUAUCCUCCGUUCCAUCCAACCUACCAUCCAUAUGGGUACUAUCCACCACCACCAUUCAUACCCAUAGGAGAAGGUCCCUCAGGUGAAGCUCCAAGGCAUUCAUUCAGUACCUGUGGAGAAAGGACAGAAGACGAAAACAAGGCUUUGAGCAAGGAUGAAGGUCUGAUGCUUCUGGGUUCUUCUAUACCCAUCAACAUUGCAAUGAACAAAUGGCGUUCCAAUCCUACGUCCACACCUCUCUUGCUCAUAAUUAGCAGAAUUGGAUGACCAACGUCAGUGGAACCAACACACCACUCAGACAUUGGCCUCUAUUCAGGAAGGGCAAGACCAAGCCAAUAGCACUCUAAGUGACAUCUUCGCGUUCCUAUAGAUCCCGAAAGAAGACUAGCUUGGGGGAGGACCCCCAUUAUCAAGGUAAGUUUUAUUUUCCCUACAUUUCAAUUUGUUUCCUUUCUCUUUUAUAAAUUUAGAAAAUCAAAUAAAUAUUUGUUAUUUAAUUCGUCUAAGUUUGAGUUUACUUAAAAAUGAAAAGCAAAUAAAAAGGGUGUGUAAUAUAAGUUUGCUUUUCUGCUAAGUUUGCUAUAAAUAAAAUAUGUAGAGAUGAAGAAGGCAUGAUGGAAAUGAUGAAUAGUUGCUCUGCCUUAAUUCUUUUCAAGUACCUAGUUUUAAAUUUGGAUUCUCCCAAGGAUUGGAUAUACUGUUAGACAACUGAAUUUACUCUAUUCUUUAAACCUGUGGGAUCAUAUGCUUAAACUAAGUCUAGGUAGUUGAUGGAUAUGAUAUGAUAUAGUCUGAGCUGCUGUUUAUAAUGUUCCUAGUGCUACUAAAUUCUAGAGAUUUAUUUUAUGGAAUUUAAAAUGAUUCAUGAUGAGUUCUAUGGAUGAUAGAGAGUAUAAAAUUCCUACCACAGCCAUAUUUAUUUAGAAUAGGAAGCCUCCACAUAUAUGUAGGGCUUUUUGUUUGCUGGAGCUGUGUGACCCUUAAGAACUCAUCAUGUGACUAAUCCCGGCAUCACAUACACUCAUGUUCACUUUUUGCUGCUUCCACUCUAGAAGUAUGACCACAUAUACUUACACUGAGAGAGAACACCAAAAAUAUUUCCCUUGCUUAUUUGCUAGCCAAUUAUCUUAAGUUCAAUGCUCCAAGUUUUAUCUCUUAUUCAACUACAAAAUAUUUGUUACAAAAAGAAUUGAUGGGCUGCAAGAAAAUUAAUGGGAAAAAGUUCCAUGAAAGAAAGAAAGAAAAUGAAAGAUCUAUGAGCCCAAGUUUGUUAUCAAAAUUUCAUGUUCAAAGUUAGAGGAAUUAUUCCAAGUAAAGGAGCAUCAGAAUUAUUUUUGCACCCCUUCUCCUUUCACAAAUAUUCUUUAGUUUAGCAUCCACAUAUAAAACCACACAUGCAGAAACUGGUUGGUUAUGUGGUGAGUUUAUUUGGAUCCAUGGUUCGAUCAGACCCAAUGCAUUAGCUAUCUCCACACCUAUGAGCUAAACAUAAGCUUUAUUAGAUAUAGGGUGUGAGAGAGAAGGCUACAAAUGCCUUGUGCCAUAAAUACUACAUAUCAUGAGAGCAAGAAAGAAGGCAUCACUCUUUUCAAUGCCUUAGAGAGGAUCCAAAAAUACCACAUAAUGAGAGACUUGAAAGGAUCAUACUAAAGAACUCUGAGUUUUAUUUUGAAAAUUAUAAAAACUCUAGGAUAGAGGUAGAACAACAGAGCAUGAGACAACAGUGCUUGACUUAAUUGUUCUAUCCUUCAACUGCUCAAGACCCAAGUAUAGGUAGAAGUCCCAUAGUUGGAAGAAACAUGAGUGAUUUUGGAAGUUAUGAUAGUUCACUCUAGUCUAAGGAUGAGUUCUUACAUAAAGCAUGUGUACUUGUGAGGUGUGAAAGCAUUGUAGCAACUCCUGAUUCAUCCUUUGUAGCUAUUUGCUUAGGGACAAGCAAAGGGCAAGCUUGGGGAGUUUGUUGACGGUUGUUAACCAUCAAAAUUAUAUGUCAACAAAGGAUAAGAAAGGGGACAAAAACUGAACAUCACCAUAGACUUAGGAUUUUUACUGACAAUUUCCACGAGUUUUGGUGAAUGUCUGUUUCUACAGGGGGUUAUCAGAAUAACAACUAAAGGAGGUCCAUAUGUCGGAUUUACAUAGGGAGAAGACCUGAACGUCAACUCUAGAUGACACUAGAAGACUCGGAAAGGUGUGCCCUGGAAGUUGGGGCCCACCUGCCAUAGGGCAGGGGUGGGCGCCUAGAGGGGGUAGGGGCGGCCACCCUAGGUCUACAACCAAUCAGGUGCAGUCUCGUAGAUCCUGCCUCCAGCGACUUUGAGGAUUAAUCUUAAGCGCACGUUUAUGUCGGUUUGAUCCAAGGGUUGUGGUGCUUCGUAGGGGGCUAUAAUACAAGCCUACCCCCCUUUUAAAAAGCUUAGAAUUGAGAAAGAAAAACACAAUUAUAUUUUUAUUCUCAUCUAAGAAUUAGAGAGAACCAUCAGAGCUAGUGAUUAGAGAUAGAUUUGCUACUCAUAAUCUUCAUCUUAUAUAUAGGAUUAGAUUAGAUAGAGGAAGAGUCUAGCGCCUGUGCUCAGAAUUUCUAGAUCUUUGUCAUUAGAGAUUGGUAUUAUCUUUUAUCUCUCUUUUGACUUUAUUCUAAAUAUUUUUAUGCUUCUAUUUAUUAUGUUCCUAGUUUAUUCUAGUUCUACAUUUGAUAUGGUUAUGAUUGAUAAUGAGUUUAUGUAUAUGUUUGCAAAGCGCUUAGCCCUCUUCGCAGGAGAAUUAUGUGAUACAUGUCAUGUAAGCAUGGUGCUUAGAUGUCGUUUAUCUGCAAUUACACCCUAUUGGUCGGGUUGUGUGGUAGAUCGCAGAAGUGACAGUUCUGUUAAGUCCUUUGUAUUCCAUCCCCGUUGGUAGGACAGGUAGAACUAAAGUUGCGUAGGAAGUCCAGCUUUGUCUUGACUUUUUAUAGAAAUGUUCCUUAUAUAUAAAUGAAGAGUCUUUUGUUCUAUAUAUUAUAAUGUAGCAUUAGAGUAGAUGAAUGACUUGAUAAAUUAUUACUACAUAGGAUUUUCUAUCUCUUGAACUAAUCGGACAUCUGUUUAAUAUUAAGCUGAGUAGUCUAUAUGUAGUCUCUAUAUUCCCUGGGCUUCUAUAUUUUAUAUAUCAUAUAUCUAUGGUUUACCAUCUGCUAUUAAUGACCAACUUGAGUAUAAUAAAAAUAUAGAAAUAAAGAUAGCAAAGUUGGUGUUGGGUAUUCUUAACGUCAUUACCAAAAGUAGACUUAGUUUUCUAAUUCUAAUAACGGCGUCAAAAAUGCUAAACCUAUCCCUCAUACCACUUAAGCCAAGUUGUCAUCCCCAGCAUGACAUGAGAGACGCGGUAUUGACAUAUGCAAUUGCUCAUCUAAAUAAAUAAUAAAUGGGAUCUGCAAGCGCACAGAUUAAUACCGAUGUAGCAUUUUAACCGGGAAGUAUUCCACGAAUCGUUAUUUAUAUUUUUACCACUGGGAAGGGAUUAGCAAUCAUCAAUAUUGAUUAUAGAAUGGAAUAUAAGAUUGAGUAUCUAUCAUUGCAUAUAUAAUUGAGAACAUCUAUCUAUCUCUUUCAUACAGGGAUAAGUGUCACAUAAAAGAUAUAUAAAGUAAUGAAUAGCGACAAAGGUAAUUAAUCUGAUAAGCAUAACUUAGCCACAUAAUGAAUAUGAUAAGCACCUCAAUUAGAUAUUCUAGCAAGUCAUUAGCAUGGAGUUAGAACGAACUACAAGAAUAUUUCCUAAGUUAUUCUCAACUAUACAGUCUAGCAUAUCAUAGUUAGUGCAAUUAUACUUAGCAAUCAUUGCGAGACAAGACUACGCCCAUGCAUAGUGAUAUUAGCAAGGAAUAUGAGAAACAUCGUAAUCACUCCCCUGUAAUAAUGUUGCUCUGCCAGCCCAAUACACGAGAGGGGGACUAUAUAAGAAUCCAUAGAGCUGUCACUAACACGAACUACCCAUCGAUCUAGCAUAUAGGGUACAAUCAUAGAUAAAUACGAUAUAAGCACCACGCCUACACAAUAUCUAUCAUUUACCCAUAGAUCCGAUGGAUAAACGCUAUACGAUCCUAAACAUGUAUAUAAAUCCAAUCUAACUAAGCCAAGUAUAUAACUAUGAUAGACUAAGAACAAUAUAAUUGCGAAUAUAAACAAGUAGAGCAAAGUCAUAAUCAAUAUAUUGAAGUAGAACAAAGUCAUAUUCAUAAUAUUGAAGAACAAAGAUGAACAAUUGGAGAACAAUAGAGAAUUACCAAGAAUCCUCUUGACAGAUCCGGAAACCAAUCGAAGAUUGACUCCUUCUAGUUCUAAUCCUAUGUAGCUAUGCUAAUCUAGAUGUCUAAUUGAUGUGGUGGCUCUAGGCUUGAUUAGAGGCUUCUUCUCCGUUGAUGAAAAAUGAAUUAGGGUUGAGAGCUCCCCUCCUCCAGGGGCCAGGGGUCUGGUUUUAUAAUCCUUCCAAGUGAAUAUGGGCCGUCGGAUCAAACCGACAUUGAUUGAACGGUUAUCCUUGAUCCUUUAGGUCGGUGGAGCUUAAUCCCGAAAGAGAGUCCUGAUUGAACUCUAAAGGGGGGCGAGUGCCCUGGUCUUUCUUCCGUAUUUCCUGAUAACCCCCUACAGAAAUAGACAAACACCAAAACUCGUGGAAUUCUGUCAGAUAAAACCCUAAGUCUGGAUGUUGAUUGUAUUUGGAUCCUUUUCUUUAUUUAUUUGAUAAUUAAAUUUGGUACUUAAGGACCAUCAACAAACUCCCCCAAGCUUACCCCUUGCUCGUCCCUGAGCUAGGAUAAUCUCAGCGAUGGAUCAGAAGUUGUUGUAAUGCCUUUAAAAGUUGACGGUACACAUGCUUUUAAAUAAGAUCCUAUCUCUGAGUUAGAGUAAACUGUCAAGACUUAAAACUUAUUCAUUUUACCUUUCACCAUGGGACUUGUAACUGUCACUUUUGUCUUGAGUAGUUAAAAGAUAGAACAGUCUAGUCAAGUGCCAUGUCUCUUAUUCUUGAUCAGCUAUAGCUCUGGAGUUUUUUGUAGAUUUUCAAAUAAAACUCAGAGGUUCCUUGUAUGACUCUCUCAGAUCUCUCUUUUGUAGUAUUUCCGGAUCCUUACCAAGGUAGUAAUGGUAUAUGCCUUCUCUCAAUGUAUGUGGUAUUUGUGGUAUGAAGCAUAGUGACAUUGACUUCUCUCUCAUCCUACUCUAAUAAGGCUUUUAUAUCUAGAGGUCAUAGGUGGGAGAUAAAGUAUACAUACUCACAAGACAUUUAUUGUAUAGUCAAACCAUGGAUCCAAAGAAACAAAUCAAUAAGUCAAAUCAAGAUGUGCAUGUGUGGCGAAUGAAUGGCGUAUGGUGAUGAUGGUGAUAACAACAGUGAAAGUCUAAUUCUAGUUUUUGCUCUUUUGAGGGGAUAUAUACCUUUCUUGCUUUUUGAAACUUUGUGAUGAGAAUGAGAUGCUCUUCUUUUUCUUUCCUCUCAGGUGGGUAUUUUGUAACCCUAAUUCUACUGUCGGACACUCGUCCAUUUUUACCUCUUGUCUUACUUUCUCUUUUCUUUCGAGGUUCCGGGCACUUGCCCCUUUUUAUUUCCUCGUAUUAUUUUUCUCUCUCUUUUUUUAGAGCACUCAUCUCAUGAGAUAAUAAUAUAGCAAGUGGUAGUAACCAAGAUAAGUUGGGCAUUUAUUUCAUAGGGGAAAAACAUAAAUGUUUUUGGCUUUUCUCUCCCAGAUUAGGAGUAGAAUAUUUUUGGGUGGUUCUGGAGAUGGAAAUGAGUGGAUAUAUGUGGAUGCGUACUUCCGGAGUAGAAGCAGCAUAUGUGAGUGAAUGUGCAAGUGAAUCUUAAUUUUAACCACAUGACAAGCUCCUAAAGUGACAACUUCAUUGAUUCUUAUAUAGUCCCCCUCUCGUGUAUUGGGCUGGCAGAGCAACAUUAUUACAGGGGAGUGAUUACGAUGUUUCUCAUAUUCCUUGCUGAUAUCACUAUGCAUGGGCGUAGUCUUGUCUCACAAUGAUUGCUAAGUAUAAUUGCAUUAACUAUGAUAUGCUAGACUAUAUAGUUGAGAAUAACUUAGGAAAUAUUUUUGUAGUUCGUUCUAAUUCCAUGCUAAUGACUUGCUAGAAUAUCUAAUUGAGGUGCUUAUCAUAUUUAUUAUGUGGCUAAGUUAUGCUGAUCAGAUUAAUUAUCUUUGUCACCAUUCAUUACUUUAUAUCCUUUAUGUGACACUUACCCCUGUAUGAAAGAGUUAGAUAAAUGUGCUCAAUUAUACAUGAAAUGAUAGAUACUCAAUAUCAUAUUCCAUUCUAUAACCAAUAUUGAUGGUUACUAAUCCCUUCCCAGUGGUAAAAAUAUAAAUAACGGUACAUGGAAUACUUCUCGGUUAAAAUGCUACAUCGGUAUUAAUCUGUACGCUUGCAGAUCCCAUUUAUUAUUUAUUUAGAUGAGCAAUUGCAUAUUUCAAUACCGCGUCUCUCAUAUCAUGCUGGGGAUGACAACUUGGCUUAAGUGGUAUGAGGGAUAGGUUUGGCAUUUUUGGCACCGUUAUCAGAAUUAGAAAACUAAGUUUACUUUUGGUAAUGAUGUUAAGAAUACCCAACAAGCAUUUUUGGCGCCGUUGCCGGGGAAGGUUGAUUACUAAUCAAGAAUGAAUAUAGGAUUUUGAGUUAUCAUUCGCAUCACUAAUAUGAUUGAGCUUAUCAAUUCUCUCAUACAGUUUUACCCUGAUAUUUUUCUAUUUUUAUCUUAUGCAGGGUAAUGUAUGAAUAGAAGACAUCUUCUAGGAAAUUUUGUUGACAAUCCUGAAGCAUUAUUGAGAAAAACAAGAGCCAAGCUCAAGAAAAGAUCAUCAACACUUUUGCAAGAAGCUUCAUCCAAUCAAGAAGAUCACCGGAACUUGACUUCAGAGUUCGAAGCCAUGGCGAACAAAUCGAUCCGUGAGUUCUCAGCUCCCACUACGAAUAACAUCUGCACUGGACCUGCUGCAGAGAUCGAUGGCAACUUUGAGGUCAAGCCUGGACUUAACAACAUGGUGCAAUCCAACCAGUUCUGUGGGAAGGCACACGAAGAUGCUAGUGCUCAUCUCCAACACUUCCUAGAGAUUUGCACCACAUUCACAAUAUCAGGAGUCCCCAGAGAUGCUAUACUACUUCGCCUCUUCCCAUUCUCACUGUUAGUAAGAGCAAAGCAGUGGUUUUACACUACAAAGGAGAAGAAUACUACGUGGGCACUCUGCUCCACAAACUUCCUGGCUAAGUUCUUUCCCAUGGGCAAGACCAAUGCUCUCCGUGGGAAGAUUACAAGUUUUCAGCAACAACAUGAUGAAUCUGUUCUAGAAGCAUGGGAGCGCUUCCAAGACUACAUCCUAGAAUGUCCCCAUCAUGGAAUGGAGAGUUGGCUACUGAUGCAGACAUUUUAUCAUGGGCUCGGCAACAGUGCUCUAGAGACCAUGGAUGCUGCAGCCGGAGGAGCAUUCCUAUCACUUACCAUAUCACAAGCCACAGCUCUUGUGGAGAAGAUGGCAUCCAAUCAAAGCUGGAAUGAAGAGAGGACCCAGACACGCAAGAAAGGUGGAGGUAUGCAUCAGCUCAAGGAGGUAGACAUGCUAUCUGCAAAGCUAGACCUGCUCAUGAAGAAGCUCGAUGAUAGAGCUGGAAUUAAGAAAGAAGUUAUACACAUCUACGACUCUCAUAUGACUUGUGAGGAGUGUGGAGACACUAGACACUCAGGCAAUCACUGCCCUGAGAUGCUUGAGGAUGUGAACUACAUCAACAAUAACAACAACAACUAUUACAAUCGUCCUCAACAAAAUCAAGGUUGGAAUCAACAAAGGCCUAACCACUCAGGUAAUUAUCAAGGUAAUAAUUCUUACAACAAUAAUAAUAAUUUUCUACCUCUGAGAGAGUUAGUGUCUAAUCAAGGAAAGCUAAUGGAUAACCUAUCUAAGAAUUUGGCAUCUAAUGAUAAAAUGAUAGAAAAUAUAAAUAAUAGAAUGAAUAAUUUCUCUAGUGCCAUCAAGAAUCAAAUUAGCUUUAAUAAAAUGAUUGAAUCUCAGUUAAAUCAUAUAGCUACCAUUGUUCCUGCUACUAACCCCGGUAUACCAUCACAACCGGAAGGAUUAGAAUCUGCAAAUCUUGUAGACAUGUUUGAUGCAGGUAAUUGGAGUAGCCCCGUCACUGAAGUUACUACGGACCUUCUGCCGGUCAAGAGAUGCGAUCAAGGACGCCCCGUCAUCCCGAUCUCCAUCGGCAUGGUGUACUUCCCAGAAGCACUCUGCGACUUUGGCUCUAGUGUCAACAUUAUGCCCAGGGUACUCUAUGAAAAAUUAUUUACAUAUCCUUUAUUAGAGACAACCAUGUGUUUGCAGUUUGCAGAUCAGACGAUAAGUUUUCCAAAAGGAAUAUUGAAGAACCUUUGUGUUUGAGUUGGUACCUUAUAUGCCCCAGCAGACUUCGUGGUGAUAGAGACCGGUAAUGAUGAGAGGGCACCCAUCAUCUUAGGGAGGCCAUUCUUAAACACAUCGGGAGCUGUCAUCUACGCUAGUGCUGCCAAAAUCAGUUUCUACAUCAAAGGGAAGAAGGAGACAUUUUCCUUCAAGAAUAAGACUACACAAAUCCCAGAGCAAUCUCGACAUGAAUCAAGGAAGAAGACCAAUAGGAGGAACAGGAACAAGCAAGUGUGGACCGAGUCAGCUAAUAUGGUCACUGCAGUUCAUGGAGGCCAAGAUCAUCAACUUAAGUCACCAUUUUUGACCAAGAAGGAUGACCCAGGAAUGCCAAGCAUCGAUUGCUCCAUAAAUGGAUACAACUUCUACAAGACGACUUGUGACACCGGAUCGGGCGUCAACAUAAUGCCCGCAGUCACCUAUCGGCUUUUGUUUGGAACCAUGCCCCUAAAACCAACAUACAUUCAACUCUAGAUGGCAGAUCAAACGUUUUGAGAAGUUAAAGGAAUGUAACUGAUGUCCCUAUCAAAAUAGACGAUCAUUUUGUCUACACAGACUUUCAGGUUAUCGACAUGGGAGAAGACGAUUACGAUCCACCCAUCAUCCUUGGAAGACUGUUCCUCAGCACCGUUAAAGCAAUCAUCUACAUUGGAACCGAAGAAGUCCAUAUGCACUUCCCCUCAGAAAAGGUACACCACUAUUUUACUGACCCUAACUAUAUCGUUGAAGACUCUGAGCAGGUCAUAAAACGACGCAGCCGCAACGAGAGGAGGGAAAUCAUCAAGGACGGAUGGGCAGACUAUGAAGGGGAAGUGGUAAGGUCAGAAGACAUACAAUUUAAACAGAACUAUCCUGAGGAGACCGUAGCACCAAGUCAGGUGUGGAAAGAGACGAUAACUAUACAUGAAGAGGAGGCGCCGCCGGAAGUACGGACUACGCCACCCAACGAAUCCCAGGACAAUUGAGAAAACGGAGAGUCCCGUUCGGAAGACUUAAAAACACCGAACGUCUUGCCAAGAGGUAAACUUGGUAGUUAUCCUUUCCCUUUCAAUUAUUUAAAAUAGUUUGCUUAGUUAAUCAUGUUCAUACUAUCCUAAAAAGAAAAUAAAAAUGUUAAAAAAUAGUAAGCCCCAUGUGAGUAUACGAGUGGCAUGAAACCCAUAAGUACAUUCACUGUGGUGGCAUAAAAAUAAAAUAAAUAUUUCUUUUCUGCUUUAUAAAAUGAAAAUAUAAAAAUAGGGAGUAACAUUUAUUGAGGAGGCUCAACAUGAUAAAGGCUAGAUACUUAUCCUAACACUUAAUUAGUUCCACAAAGCUUUGUUGUCUAUUUGAGCUCCACAGAAUUUAAGAAUCGAGAAGACUAGCAGACGGAGGACAUUCUAAUCGCUGUCAAGAUACUGCCGACUUUCAAAUACACCUCUGCCACCUGCUAGCUACAUCAAGAGAAAUUAUGUCAAAAUUCAGCUUGGGGGAGAGCACCCCCAUUUAUCCCACUAAGUAUUUCUAUCUAUCUUUAUACUUAUACUAUAUUAAAAUAUAGAUAUACAUAACUAUGGAAAACCAAAUAAAGAUUUUGCGCAUAUAUAUAUAUAUAUUUUGCUAGUUUGUUUAAUAAAUAAAUAAAUAAAUAAAGUGGCUAUGCUAAACUGAAUAUUAAUAAUAAAACUCUAGCAUGGAUACGAUGAAUAGUUGCUCUGCCUAAUUUUUAAAUUUGAGUUCACUCUCAAGUUUAGACAUAACUGUUAUAAUUUAAAGCUUGAUCUAAACCUGAACUUGUGGGAAGAAAACUUGAUCUGAAGUCUAAAUUGUUAACGGAUAUGAUAUGGGAAGGUUGAGCUGCUGUUUAUCUGUUUCUAGAGAUGCUAGAAUCCUGGAGAAUUUUAUCUUUGAAAAUCUUUAAAAUAUUGCAUGAUGAGUUCCUGUAUGAUGAGAGUUUAAAUUCAUACCACAGCCAUAUAUACAUGCUUGCUAGACUUUGAGCCACACAUUUACUUUUACUACUUAUGAGCAUUGAGUGUGGUCAGGCUGUGUAGACCCUUAGGAGCUUGUCAUGUGGUUAAAUCAAGAUUCACUUGCACGUUCACUCACACAUGCUGCUUCUACUCCGGAAGUACCAUCCACAUAUAUCCACCAAUUUCCAUCUCCAGAACUACCCAAAAAUAUUCUACUCCUAAUCCGAGAGAGAAUGGCCAAAAACAUUUUUGUUUUCCUCUUUGAAAUAAAUGCUCAAGUUAUCUUGUUACUACCACUUGCUAUAUUAUCUCAAGAGAUGAGUGCUCUCUUAAAAAAAGAUACGAAGAAAUAAAAAGGGACAAGUGCCCGAAACCUCAAAAGAAAAGAAAAAGUGAGACGAGAGGUAAAAAUGGACAAGAGUCCGCAGUAGAAUUAGGAGUACAAGAUACCCACCUGAGAGAAAAGAAAAAAGAAAAUAUAGAGCAUCUCAUUCUCCUCACAAAGUUUCAAAAAGCAAGGAAGGUAUGUAUCCUCUCAAAGAGCAAAAGAUUUAGACUUUCACCAUUGUUAUCACCAUCAUCACCAUAUACCAUUCAUUCGUCACACAUGCACAUCUUGAUUUGACUUAUUGAUUUGUUUCAUUAGAUCCAUGGUUUGACUAUACAAUACAUGUCUUGUGAGUAUAUAUAUUUUAUCUCCCACCUAUGAGGUCCAGAUAUUAAAGCCUUAUUAGAGUAGGGUGAGAGAGAAGGCAAUGUCACUAUGCCUUAUACCACAAAUACCACAUACUUUUUGAGAGAAGGCAUAUACCAUCCCUGCCUUGGUAAGGACCCAGAAAUACUACAAAAGAGAGAUCUAAGAGAGUCAUACACGGAAUCUCUGAGUUUUAUUUGAAAAUCUACAAAAACUUCAGAGCUAUAGCUGAUCAAGAAUAAGAGACAUGGCACUUGACUAGACCGUUCUAUCUUUUAACUACUCAAGACAGAAGAGACGGUUACAAGUCCCAUGGUGAAAGGUAAAGUAAGUAAGUUUUAAGUCUUGACAGUUUACUCUAACUCAGAGAUGAGAUAUUAUUUAGAAGCAUGUGUACCGUCAACUUUUAAAGGUAUUGCAACAACUUAUGAUCCAUCGCUGAGAUUAUCCUUGCUUAGGGACGAGCAAGAGGUAAGCUUGGGGGAGUUUGUUGACGGUCCUUAAGUAUCAAAUUUAAUUAUCAAAUAAACAAAGAAAAUGAUCCAAAUGAAAUCAACAUCCAGACUUAGGGUUUUAUCUGAUAGAAUUCCACGAGUUUUGGUGUUUGUCUAUUUCUGCAGGGGGUUAUCAGGUAAUACGGAAGAAAGGCCCACACGUCGGGAUUACAUAGAGAUAUUAACGUGCCGCGCAAUUAUCUUACAUCUAGAAGACUCCAGAAGCCACGGGAACGAAGCGGAGGCCGAACAGGGCCUGGCCCUUGGUGCCCGCCCAGGAGACCAGGGCGCCCGCCCACCUCUGGAGUCCAAUCAGGACUCUCUUUCGGGAUCAAGCUCCACCGACCUAAAGGAUCAAGGAUAACCGUUCAAUCAAUGUCGGUUUGAUCCAACGGCCCAUAUUCACUUGAAGGGACUAUAAAACCAGACCCCCUGGCCCCUAGAGGAGAGAGCCUCUCAACCCUAAUUCAUUAUUCCUCAAGGUAGAAGAAGCCUCUGAUCAAGCCUAGAGCCACCACAUCAGUUAGACAUCCAGAUUAGCAUAGCUACAUAGGAUUAGAACUAGAAGGAGUCAAUCGUCGAUUGGUUUCCGGAUAUGUCAAGAGGAUUCUUGGUAAUUCUCUAAUUGUUCUUCUAAAUGUUCAUCUUUGUUCUUCAAUAUUAUGAAUAUGACUUUGUUCUACUUCAAUAUAUUGCUUAUGACUUUGCUCUACUUGUUUAUAUUCAAGAUUAUAUUGUUCUUAGUCUAUCAUAGUUAUAUACUUGGCUUAGUUAGAUUGGAUUUUUAUACAUGUUUAGGAUCGUAUAGCGUUUAUCCAUCGGAUCCAUGGGUAAAUGAUAGAUAUUGUGUAGGCGUGGUGCUUAUACCGUAUUUAUCUGCGAUUGUACCCAAUAUGCCAGAUCGUGGGGUAGUUCGUGAUAGUGACAGCUUCAUUGAUUCUUAUAUAGUACCCCUCUCAUGUAUUGGGCUGGCAGAGCAACAUUAUUAUAGGGGAGUGAUUACGAUGUUUCUCAUAUUCCUUGCUAAUAUCAAUAUGCAUGGGCAUAGUCUUGUCUCACAAUGAUUGCUAAGUAUAAUUGCAUUAACUAUGAUAUGCUAGACUAUAUAGUUGAGAAUAACUUAGGAAAUAUUCUUGUAGUUCGUUCUAAUUCCAUGCUAAUGACUUGCUAGAAUAUCUAAUUGAGGUGCUUAUCAUAUUUAUUAUGUGGCUAAGUUAUGCUGAUCAGAUUAAUUAUCUUUGUCACAAUUCAUUACUUUAUAUCCUUUAUGUGACACUUACCCCUGUAUGAAAGAGUUAGAUAAAUGUUCUCAAUUAUACAUGUAAUGAUAGAUACUCAAUCUCAUAUUCCAUUCUAUAAUCAAUAUUGAUGGUUACUAAUCUCUUCCCAGUGGUAAAAAUAUAAAUAACGAUACCUGGAAUACUUCCCGAUUAAAAUGCUACAUCAGUAUUAAUCUGUGCGCUUGCAGAUCCCAUUCAUUAUUUAUUUAGAUGAGCAAUUGCAUAUUUGAAUACCACAUCUCUCAUAUCAUGCUGGGGAUGAGAACUUGGCUUAAGUGGCAUGAGGGAUAGGUUUGGCAUUUUUGGCACCGUUAUCAGAAUUAGAAAACUAAGUCUACUUUUGGUAAUGAUGUUAAGAAUUCCCAACAGCAUGUAUAAUUGAGAACAUUUAUCUAACUUUUUCAUAUAGGGAUAAGUGUCACAUAAAGGAUAUAUAAAGUAAUGAAUAGUGACAAAGAUAAUUAAUCUGAUCAGCAUAACUUAGCCACAUAAUAAAUAUGAUAAGCACCUCAAUUAGAUAUUCUUGCAAGUCAUUAGCAUGGAAUUAGGACGAACUACAAGAAUAUUUCCGAAGUUAUUCUUAACUAUACAGUCUAGCAUAUCAUAGUUAGUGCAUUUACUUAGCAAUCAUUGUGAGACAGGACUACACUCAUGCAUAGUGAUAUUAGCAAGGAAUAUGAGAAACAUCGUAAUCACUCCCCUGUAAUAAUGUUGCUCUGCCAGCCCAAUACAUGAGAGGGGGACUAUAUAAGAAUCAAUGGAGUUGUUGUUGAUAUUUGGUAAUGCCAUCAGGAAAAUGAUCCGCAAGCGCACGUAUAUCGGUGAGCACUUCACCCGGGAGGUUAUCCAGAGUAUCGUAUUUAUAUUUCUACAACUAGGAGAAAGCGUGCAUCUGACUAACCAAAUCUAUUACUACUACCCUUUAGGCUAAAAAGAAUGUUUCUCGAUGUGAGCGAUGUAUAGAGAAGACUGCAACCGUAGUCUCGUUCUAACCUUGGUAAGGAUGAUCUACUGUUCUAUCGGGGAGGCUCACGGAAUCUAGACACCACAGAGAAUGUUCGACCCGCACCUAUAAACCCUAUCCGUCUUGCUAACAAGAUGUGGGUUGCAAAGGUAACUCAGAAAUGUCACGUUCCUCGCUACUACCAUGAUCCAGCUAGUCAGGGGAUAUCUAUGAGUACCCUAGCCCAAACACCACGUUUAUGCUAGCAAUGAUUACUCUAAACUCAACCGGAAGAGAUUAAAGUAAACUCAUGAACCAAAGAACAAUAAAACAAGAACUUACUAGAAUUUAGAAGUCGAAUUACUGAAGAAUCCUAGGAGCAAGCCUCGGGUUAGGAGAACUUGAUCCCGUAGGUACAACCUCGGAGUAGACACCGAUAGGCUGAGCUUCCUCCGAUCUACACCUCCACUCUAUCUCUCUCAAUCUAGUAGAUCUAGUCUACUCUCAUAUUGGAUGCUAAGCCCUAAGUCUAUUUAGAGGAGAGGUAUUCCUUCGAGGGCUCCUCUCAACUCUAUGAUGAACUUGUUCUCCUCCAGGGGCCAGGGGGUCUGGUUAUAUAGUCCUUCCAAGUGAAUAUGGGCCGUCGGAUCAAACCGACAUUGAUUGAACGUUUAUCUUUGAUCCUUUAGGUCCGUGGAGCGUAAUCCCCGAAGGGAGUCCUGAUUGGACUCCAGGUCACGGCGGGCGCCCUAGGGCGGAGGGCGGGCGCCCUGCCCACGGGCCUGUUCGCCUUCCCGUUCGUUCCCGUGGCUUCUGGAGUCUUCUAGAUGAAAAAAUUGCGCGGCACGUUAAUAUCUCUAUGUAAACCCGACGUGUGGGCCUUUCUUCCGUAUUUCCUGAUAACCCCCUGGAGAAAUAGACAAACACCAAAACUCGUGGAAUUCUAUCAGAUAAAACCCUAAGUCUGGGUGUUCGUUGCAUGUGGAUCCUUUUCUUUAUUUAUUUGAUGAUUAUGUUUGGUACUUAAGGAACGUCAACAACUCCCCCAAGCUUACCUCUUGCUCGUCCCUGAGCAAGGAUGAAUCAAGAGUUUCUGCAGUGGUUUCAUGCCUUAAAAGUAAAAUCUCAUCUCUGAGUUAGAGUAAACUGUUAAGACUUAAAACUUACUCAUUUUACCUUUCACCAUGGGGCUUGUAACCGUCACUUGUGUCUUGAGCAGUUAAAAGAUAGAACGGUCAAGUUAAGCACCAUGUCUCUUGUUCUUUGAUUAACUAUAGCACUGGAGUUUUUUUGCAGAUUUUCAAAUAAAACUCAGAGAUUCCUUGUAUGACUCUCUCAGAUCUCUCUUUUGUGGUAUUUCUGGAUCCUUACCAAGGCAGUAAUGGUAUAUGCCUUCUCUCAAAGUAUGUGGUAUUUUUGGUGUGAGACAUAGUGAUAUUGCCUUCUCUCUCACCCUACUCUAAUAAGGUCUUGAUAUUCUGAGCUCAUAGGUGGGAGAAAGAUAAUACAUACUUACAAGACAUUUAGUGCAUAGUCAAACUAUGGAUCCAGAGAAACAAGUCAAUAAGUCAAAUCAAGAUGUGCAUGUGUGGCGAAUGAAUGGUGUAUGGUGAUGAUGGUAAUAACAAUGGUGAAAGUCUAAUUCUAUUUUUGCUCUUUUAAGGGGAUACAUACCUUUCUUGCACUUUGAAGCUUUUUAGGGAGAAUGAGAUGCUCUAUAUUUUCUUUUUCUUUUCUCUCAGGUGGGUAUCAUGUACCCCUAAUUCUACUCUCGGACACUUGUCCAUUUUUACCUCUCGUCUC
rnacentral:lncRNA from 1 species